GUAUCUCGUACUAUAACCUAUUCAGUCGGUUAAUAUUGAAGUAACUUUAAAUUGGAAUGGAAACAGAAGAUUUAGAAUUUAGGUAUCGAAUUUUUAAUAUUGAAGUAACUUUAACUAAAAAUAGUGUAAGAUACUAUUUUUAUUGGACUUAGAGAAGUAAAAUAUAAGUCGGAAAUGACUUAUGCUGAAAUUGGAAUGGAAACAGAAGAUUUAGAAUUUUCGGUAAGAAACCGGGCUGAUAUUUUAGCAGAAAAUUUAUAGUGUCAGAAAAUUAUGAAAAUUGGAGAAUAUGUCGAAAUUAUUUUUAUGAGGCGAUACUUAAAGUUUCAUGUCAUUCCGACACCCGAAAAGUGGAAAAUAAAAUCUGUCUGCUAUCUGCUAGAGAUUCGGGUCGGUAGAGCUUUCGGUGACCAAAAAUGGUACAAAUUGAAAAGUUAAGAUAUCGUUCUUCUUAUUAAUUUUAACUGAACCUGACUGUCAAAUUUGAGAGCAAACGGAUAUUCAGAAGGGCUCCGGCGAAAAGUAUCAGAUUUUGAAUUGCUAAACUAAAAAUUAUAUUAGUGUUCGGGGAUCGAAAUGUGAUGAUAAUCCCAGCUUUUGUGAGGGGGUUUUUGGCAAUUGUUUGGACUUAUCCUUUAACCCCAGCACCUCAACCCUUCCAUACGUAUUAGACCCUCUCCUCACCUUUUCUUUUGUUUCUUUCUUACUCUCUUUCUCUCUAAACCCUAAGGUGGAUUGGUGAAGGAGAGGUUGGUGAAGUGGGUUUCUUGGUGUUUUGAGCUGAGAGAAGGAACUCUUGAGCAGGAAACUAGCUGUUGGAGCCUCAAACCAAGGUAAGGUUGAUGUAUAUCCCUGGUUUGAAUUGUGUUAUUGGCUCUAAAAAGGUUUAAGCUACAAAGUUUGGAUGUUAGAGUUUUUAGUUGCCAUGAGAAAUAAACCUAGAACAAGUUAAAUGUUGUGUGAAGGUAUAUGAAGCAAUAAACCUGAAGUAGCUUUGCUGUUUCUUGAUUAAAAUUAUGAUGUUUACUCUAUAGAGGGUUGAGCUGUGGAAUUCUAGGUUGCUAGAACUCCUAUUGCCAUGAAAACCUAGUAGAAAGCCUAGAAACUGCACUAUGGACAACAUACAUUUGAAUUGUUGAUUAGAGAUAAAAGUUGAGAGGAACUUGGGCUGUUAUUUUGUUAGGGUUUAUAUUUAUUUACCCUAAACAGGACUUGGUUUGAGUUUUUAGUUUCUAAAGCCUAAAGUUGCCAUGGAAGCCUAGAAAUUAUGCUAUGCUAACAAUAUAUAUGUAAACUUGGGUUAAAUGUAAAGUCGUAGAAACAUGAAUACAACAUGAGUUUGAUCUCUUGUAUUCCUACAUGAAGGAAAAUUCGACAUGCUCGGAAGUUUAGAUCGGUGUUCUGACGAGCCUACGGCAAGAUAGUUAGGAAAAACCUCAUUUUAGCUUCGUUUGUCGCAAGCGAGGGUUAUGAUCAUUCAUAAAUCGCGGGAAAUGGUUUUCUCGCGUCUCGGCAUCAUUUAAAGGUGGGUGGUGCUUUCCGAAGUAAUCGAAUGACCUAUUAUGUUUAUAUCACUUUCUUAAGCAUACAUGUAUUGUAUAUGUUUAGUGAUAUGAGCAUUAUAGGGUUGAGUUUGAUAUAUGACAUGGGGUCUAAUUGUAUGCUUUGAAGGCAGAAUCCAUAUGGACAAUGAUUAGUAAACAUAGAACCCUAUAGAUGUAUGAACUUGUGUUGGACUAUGAAAUAGUUGAUGAAGUGACAUUGUUAGUAAAUAGCAUGAAUAGCACCGAGUAUUGUGAAGGUUAAAUAAGGACAAUGAACUUGUAAAAUGUGUGGCAUUAGAACUAGAUGAAUUGAUUAGCAUCUAGAAUUGGAUAUGUAAACCUAGCAUAAAGAGCUAGUUAAAGUGUGGCAUUGUCAGUGUAUCCUCUAAGUGAGGAUUGGAUCAUACUCACAUAGUCUAAUGCUCGAGGUAAAGGUCGCUCCUCCUUGGACGAUGAGCUCCGGAGUGUGUCAUCAACUGGGUUGGUAGCGGAGUUCUCCCCAGUAGACGGUCCCAUCGGGUUGGUAGCAGAGGUCCCCCCCUCCCCCCCGACAAAAAAGGAUUGGUUGGUGAGUUGUAGUUAACCAAGGGGUUAACUAAGUUGAUUGGAUAAUGAUAAUAUGAUAGCAUGCAUGCAUAAGACUCUAUGAGUUAUAUAUGUUGUUUCUUUCCAGCUUUGUACAGGCAUUGUAGUAGAUGCAUGAUAUAGUUGGUUACUAUCUGUUCUCUUUCCUUGCCUACAUAUGCCUGAGUUAAACCUAGUGGGUGAGUCGGCGAGGUCGGCAGCCGAACCCACUGGAAACUUUCAGUAGUUCUCACCCCACUAACCAUGCAGGUUCUAGCAAGUGCGGGGUGGUUGAGGAGCGUGACAAGGACAGCUCACAAUAGAUAGCGACAUCCAUUGAGUAUAGCUAUACCUUGUAUAUUUCAUCUAUUUAUUGUUGACGAAAUGAAAAAUGUAAAUUAUUCAUUUGAAAGAUAGCAAAUGUAUAUAUGUUGGAAGAAUGAAUGUAUGCAAACAAAUGACAAGCUUUGUAUUUAAUUUAAAGUAAUCAAGAUACAAUGUAUGAAUGGUUUAAUUAGUUUACUUUCACUUGCUUAUGUUGCUUACCCUCGUGUAAGCCAUGUAUAUUGAAAUUUUUUCUGGGCAUUUUCUUAUACAUGUUUGAUAGUUGUCGUUGAGCCUUGGGCGAACAGAAGAGGUUCUGUUCGUUCGGCGUCUGUGUACGGGCCUGAACCGACCAAAUUGGUGGUUACGGGGCAUGACAGAUUAAAUGGUAUCAGAGCAAUGCAAAGUGAAAGUAUAGGAUGGACCUAGGAACCUUAGGAUGGAAAACCAUAAAGAUCUAGGUUCGUGAGAGAUGAGAACCUUGAUAUGUGGCGAAAGAUUAAAUCGAUUGGGUCGUGUGUUGUAUACCUUUAAAAUGGAUGUUAGAGUUGAAUCCAAGGUGUAGUUUAUUCUCAGCAGGGAGAGUUCAUGUUGGAUGCAUACAACAUGAAACCGAGUGAUGAGAAUAUGCUCCCUUGUAUGACUUUCGCCUGAUUUGAGUUUAGGUUGAUGAUAGUUGUCUCGUGCUUGACCUUGAGUGUCUAGAAUUGGUCGAGUCGUUGUGCGUUUAGUGGUCUUGUGUAGCCGAUCUCUUAUGAGAUCGAUGUGGUUCGGGAUGAGUGAAAUCCCUGAAUUGACUGAGCUUGGAGGAAACUCGAAGUUCUGGGAUCGAUUAGUCACACCUGUGGUAGGGUUGAGGCGACGAGUCGUCUGAUGCAAUGUGAGCAGGAGGCUGUUUUGUGUUUGGUGGAUUUAGUCAAUGGACUCCAGAAGGCUGUGGGUAGUUGAUAACCACACAAUUUGUGGCUUGUUGUGUGUAGCUAGAAGUGGUGGUAAAGGUUAUUUUGUUGGAAUCAGGUAAUGAGGCUCCUGACUUUGUGAUGCAGAAAGCAAGGUGAGAACAGUCGUGGAUAACCCUUGUGGCCUUCAAGAAGGUUUAGUUCUCUACCUUCGAUGGAGGAAUAUUGUGGGUAGAGAAUUGUGGAUUGGCUUCAGGGAAAUUCUCCCUGGAAGGAUUUGUACAUUUGGAACAGAGUAUAGAAUAUGCUCUUGGAAUAAACGACAAGUGAACUUCCGGAUAAGUUGUGGAAGCUAUAGCAGGGUGACUGUUUAGUGAAAGAGUAUGUAGAGGAAUUUUUUCUGCAUGUUGAAGGGUGUUUAGUAUACAGUGUGAGAUAUUGGAGAAAAGGCCGGUUCUGGUGUGUGAAGACUUCUAAACAAUGUGUCGGAGUUGUGCAUUUCUAUAAUUUGCAAACUUCUGGCGAAAUCGUAGACCGGGCCUUAUGGGUAAAAUAAGGUGGUAUUUCGCGCGGAGGAAACGCGAAUGGAUUAGUUGAGAAUGGGGGACGAGCGACUGAUGUAUGGUUCGGGUGGUCAAUCAAGUGUUAAGCGACACCCAGAAGAGAAUUGCAGUCGCGAUUUUAAAGUUCGAAAGGGUCUUUUGACUGACUUUUUUGAGAGAAAUGGUUGUGGUGACUUUCACCCGGCGCAGACGUGUGUGUUGUUGGAUAGGUGAAGUUGUAAUAGGUUGACUUUGAUAAGAAGAAUGUAUACUUGGGGACAAUGUAAACUCUGAGUAGUACAUACAAGAAUGUGAUGGAGGAUUAGGUUGGGUGGAUAUAAUACCCUAGCAUGCAUAGAUGACGAAAAUGUAUCGCCUAUUGUUUGAAUAGGCAGUUGGAUAGUGCCAAUGAGUGGCUUGUAGUGAGUUGAGGUUAGAGCUCGGGAUGAGUGGAACUGAUGAACUAACUCUUUAAGCAUUAAGAGUGAUAAUGAGAGUCGGGUUAGGAUGUUGGAAGACGCUUCUAAAGUUCGAGAAUUCGGAUGAUGUUCUGAUGGAUCGUGUAGUGGUAAUAGCGUCGUUGUGGUAGAAUGGUUAGAUGAUCACCUGGUUUUGGCGAGUUGAUUGAGUUAUACCUCAAAUAAGUUGACGAAAUUUGUGUUUAUGUGUUGUGGGCGUAGGCUAGGUUGCCUAGCGAGUGAUAUCUAGUGAGAGGCGUGAUAGUGUAGGAUGCUUGAGUAUAGCUGUUCGUAGAGUGUGGAUUGUGGCUUAGCCGAGAGAGUUUGUUGGCAGUAGCACUUGAGCGUUGCUUGGUGUGAAGCAUGUCGGAUCAUUGGCGCUAACCAUUAAUCCCAAAAGCUCGAGCUGUUAGAAAUAUGCAACCAAUUCACUUAAAGCGUACAGAAACAGCGCCCACGGGUCUCGAUUGUGACUCGGCCCACUUGGCCUCACGCAACUUCGAACAUGACUCGGCCCAACCCAGCCUCACGCCAUUUCGAACAUGACUCGGCCUACAUGGCCUCCCGCCACAGGGCAGGAUGCUGGCCCAUUUGCGCCAACAAUCCCCCCUACAGCACCUGCACAUAUUUGCAGCAUGCAGGAAUCGAACCCGUGACCUCUGGCUCUGAUACCACUUGUCGGAUCAUUGGCGCUAACCAUUAAUCCCAAAAGCUCGAGCUGUUAGAAAUAUGCAACCAAUUCACUUAAAGCGUACAGAAACAGCGCCCACGGGUCUCGAUUGUGACUCGGCCCACCUGGCCUCACGCCACUUCGAACAUGACUCGGCCCAACCCAGCCUCACGCCAUUUCGAACAUGACUUGGCCGACAUGGCCUCCCGCCACAGGGCAGGAUGCUUGCCCAUUUACGCCAACAAAGCAUGCCAUGAAUCACUUGUGGGGCUGAUGGCUCGCACUAGGUGCUUAGGAGCAGGUAGUAAUGCGAGUUGCUCUAUUGAGCAUGUCAUGUGUGACGACGAUUGAGAAUGUUGUUUGGGGACGAUCCGUGCCUGGACCAUGUGUGCGCUCUGGGGCCUACAGCCAUUUGGAUAGGCGCAGUCGGCUGUGUGUGACAGCGGCUCGAUACCUGCGGGUAGGGCAGAGGUUUUUGUCGGGGCGGUAGUCCGAGUUUAGACUGGUAACGUGGUAUGCCACGUAUUGGAUCGUGUGAUUAGUGAUACAUCGAGAGUGUGAAUUUGACCCAACCCUAAAAUUUGUAAUGGUUUGGGAUUUGGACUGCUCCUGGUUGGAGUAGGUGUGUGAGGUCUCAAAUGGGGAUUUCGUCUUGUGAUGAUUGGGCCUACGUUUUCGAGUGAGAGACGCUGUGUGAUAUAGCAAUCAAGUUAGGUGAUAGACCUAUGUCGGAUCGGUGGUUUAUAAGCCAAUUUAUGAUAGUUGGGACAAACGGUUUAGCCGAUUAUUCUCGAAAUGCGAGUAUUGGGUGUGAUGUUGUGGAUCGGGGGUAGUGACCAUAGGAGCGAAAGCUCGGUCCGACUGUUCGCUUGUUUUGAAUCAUCGAGUUAGGCUCUGACGAUGAGUUGGAAUUAGAGGCACGAACAAAGUGUUCGUGGGGACUUGUUGGGAGAGAUUGGUAUAGCGUGGAACGUGGCUUAGAAAGUAAAAUAUUUUUUUGAGAUUGUCGUGUAGUGAAAGCCACGUGAGGUUUGGAGGAUUAUGCCCUCAAGUUGCUAAAGUUGUGGAGGUGCUAGAAUGAGCCAUUUCGUUGAGGAGUGGAAAUUCGUGUGUGGUUAAGUACUCACAAUUAGAUCUAUAUGUAUAGGUGUGGUUUAUGGUGGAAAGCAGAGAGGGUUGGUUUUGUCGUAAAUCGGCGACCAAAUAGGACGAAACUAAAUACUAGAUUCGAUGCCCCAGUAGUGUUGAACUCGCUGGCACGAUCCGAUCGGAAAUCCGACGGACGGAUCUUCGGGAAUCACAUAAUGUUCGUUGAGGGGUCGAAAUUGGCAAAAUAGAAAAAUUGAGAAAAACCCAAUAUUUUAUGUACUGUUUUGCGUGAUUUUGAACGACGAGGUGCGUAUGCGCAAAUUACGCGCACUGGCAGGGACUGGGUUGAAAAUAUACAGCUUCGGAGGGCUUUUCUGCAAUUAUACACCUACGUAUAAAUUAGUGUUAAGGUUCCCACAUGAAAUCCUAACCCUAGCCCAUCCCAGCUAACCCUAGGAUACCCUAGCCGACACCACCUCCUCCCUGCCCUCGCCGUGCACGCAUCCCGGCCACCGGCAAGCGCCCCCGGCCGCCGAAAACCGCAGCACCUCCCUCUCAACUCAUCUCCUCCAUCUAUCCACCACCACCCUCCUCGGUCGUUGAACUCAGGGAACAGCAAACACCCUCAGAGUCUUCAUCCUCUGGCCAAGACCCACCUCCAGCACCGUCCCCGCCGGCCCCCGCCAUACGCGUGCGCUGCCGGCGCCGCCUAUGCAACCUGCGGCUAGCCCGAGUCAGCUCAGGCCGAGCUCAGUUAAGCUCGAGGCUCGCAUGCUGUAGCUGCCCUAGCUCAGCCGCCCCGACUCUCUCAGGCCUCCGGCGACCUCCUGCUUGUCGUCCCGUCGUCUCGGAGCGCCGCCGGCCACCGCUCGUGCUCCAUGCGACCACCCUGAACCAGUGCGGGCUGAGCCGAGGCCAACUUGGCCUCUGUGCAUCGCCGCCGGCCACCGCCGGUCGCUCUGCCCUCCCUCGGCCUCCGGCAACCGGUCGCAGUCGCCUCCGGCCGCCGCCCGGCCACCGUUGUUCCCUGAACCCGAGCUGAGGCUAUGCGGGCUCGAUCUCCAUCGCCGCGCCACCAGCCACCUCCCGCCGCUAGCCAGCACGCGCCCCGGCCCCCACUGACCGGCCGCACCCGUCUCCGGCCGGCCCGCCUGCCGUCCGGCCGCCGCCGGCCACCCUGGGGCUCCAAAUUGCUCCGAUGAGUUUUUAACAGUAUUCUGCACACUGUUUUGGGGUUCCGGUUGCCUGUCCGGCGAUUAGAAGAUACCCCGAUGCUCCCGGAAGUGAGCACGAUGAUCCCUGCAUUGUGCUGAACAUUGUGCUUACCUCCGUUGGGGUCAGUGAUGCCCCGGUUUGUGUGUUAGACGCAAUUUAGGCAUUAUGCGCGUUGUUUCACUAAAGUUCGCGUCGCUCGCGCGCUCACCACAAUGGUCGGCAGUGCUCCGAAGUGUGAGCACGGCCCCCAGCACGCCGAGACCUAUCAGCGGGUGUCUCGGCUUGGCUGAAUGAUCCUCGGCUUGCGCUGUCGGGCCAUAAAACCCCGAAAAUCACAUGAAAAAAUAUGAUUUUAUGUAGUCACGAGGUUUUUUUUUUAUGCAAUUGUACAUUUUGUGGUCGCUGUUGGCAACGUGUGCGGGCUUUGUGUAACCUCUAGACUGAUUGUCCAAGACCUUAGGCCUUUUCGGAGAUCGAAAAUUGAUUUUCUGUGCUUUUGUCAGCAAAAUCCGCCGACGGAACGUGUUUUCGGUUCGGAAUUAUCCGACGGUGCCUCACGAUAAUUUGUGUCGUCGCUGAGCCUUGUUGGCUGGUCACCCGCGUCAUUUCGAGGGUACGAAAAUGACGGGUGAGCGACGGUGGGUUCCGAUGUCGAAUUGGACACUUCCAGGAACCCGGGUCGGAAUGAUUAUCCGAUGAUAAUCGUUUCGAAGUAAGAUAGUGUAUUUGCUGCCAAGUCACACGAAAAUAUGUGUUUAGUGGUAGCUGGUGACUCGUAGCAGGAGUCGGUGAGUUCCGGGACAGUUCGUGGGUCCCGGCGGAGUCCCAGUGCGAUUUUCGGGACUUCUGGCGUGUUACGGUAAUCGGUUUUGGGAAACCGAUUUCCGUAGGUUUAUUGGUGGGGAUUGUGAGUUAGUGGUUCGUGUUUGUGGGUUGGAUACUAACCCGGUGGACCCUUCGUAGGUUCGAUUGACUUUCUUCCGCAGUCGGGAGAUCGGUGCUACGUAUGUAUAGGUAGGUACUUCGACCCGAAGUCGGUACAGUGGUGCACGCUCGGUGACAUUCCCUUCACUCUUUCCUUGUUGUUUAUCUUGCGUAUUAUAUGUUGAGCCUAGCACCUAUACCAUGCUUCUUUAUUGCUCUACUUAGUUGGUUGCAUACCCAGUAUCUAUUUUAGAAGUAAAGCGGUUUUGUGAUUAUCAGUGAGAUCUAUGACCUAGUCGGUCAGUUCGUAUUGUGACCUAGUUGGUCGGUUCUUGUAUCUCGUACCUGUGACCUAUUCGGUCGAUUCACUGCAUCCGUUAUUAUGAUCUACUUAGUCGGUUAGACUACUUGGUGACCCGUGCGGUCUGUAUACCCUGAGGGGUUGGAUUGUCGGCUAGUUGUUGAUGUUUUGUGACCUAGUCGGUCGGUUAUUAUAUCUCGUACUGUGACCUAUUCAGUCGAUUCACUGCAUCUGUUGUUGUGAUCUAUUUGGUCAGUUGGACUACUUGGUGACCUACGCGGUCAGUACACCCUGAGGGGUUGGAUUGUCGACUAGUUGCCGAUGUUUGGCUAUUGAGCAUAUCAGCAUCGAUCGCCACUGCUCGUACGCAUUUCACGAAUACCGGCGGUCUGAUCCACCGCAAGAAAGUGUUCUUUUCUAGAAAAGUGGUUGGGAGUGCCAGCUCGUGAGCCCAAGAGGGGUUAUAUGCAUUUAGACCCGGGUGCUUUAUGCGAGGGUCAUAUACUUUUAGACUCGGGUGCUUAUGCGAGAGUUAUUUACAGAUUAGAGUAGUUGUGGCAUAGGCCUGAGGUGUUGCGGACCAAUAUAGCUGUUUUCAGAUUGGGUAUUUUGGACUUGUCAUCCGGUUGAUGCAUACAUACAGUAGCGGUAGUUUGUUCAUUAUACCUCUUGUUCGUUUAUUAUUGUUGCUACUGUAUUACACUUACCCAUACCUUUGUUUAUUCUCCUUGACUUGUGAGUACCCCUUGCUUUCGUCGGCUUGCGGUACCUACUAGGAGAGGAGACAUGUUUACAUGUUCUCACCCCCCACCCUCAUUAUAGGUGACGUCGCGGGUCCUAGUGGGACGGUUUGUGAGGAGCGCAGUUAGCGAUCGGUAGAGCUACCGUCCCGUCAGUUGGUUAAAUUCAAAUUCAGUCUCUUUUAGUAAUGACUUAGAAUGCAUUUAUAGUUCAAUAUUUCAUGAUAAUUGAAUAAUUGGGAUUUCGUGAAUGUAAUAAAGGAUUUGUGAUUCUUGCAAACUGAAAUAGUUUUCCACCCCUCGUGGUAGCGAGCUUUAAAUGGAAAAGGUUUUUGUGUGGGAAACAGUUUUUAAAAGGUUUUCUCUUGGUUUUCAUGACUUUGUAUUUCAAAACGAGUUUCCAGGUAUGAAAUAUUUUAAAGGGAUAAUUACCUAUAUACCCCUCAUGCGUCUGGAAAUAUCCGAUCUACCCCUACUUUUUUUUUCUUUCAUAUGUUCCACCGUUAUUACAAAAUACCCCCGCAGUUAUCUCCUGUUAAGUUAACCUUAGUUAAACGUGAGUUAAAUAUCUAUCACAGUUAAAAAAAAUUAAAAUGCCAAUUUUGCCCUUAACUUAAGGGCAAAUAAGAAAGGUUGGUUACGGUAGAGGGGUAUAUUGGAAAAGACAAAAAGUUGAAAUACUUUUUGUGCCCCUGACUUUAAGGGCAAAUAAGAAAGACAAUGAUGGUGGAAGGGUAUAUUUGAAAAGGGUAAAAUAGUAAUUUUACAGAGAUAACAGUGUUGCUUAACAGAUUUUAACUCUAAGGGUAUAUUAGAAAUAGGUUGGAACGUAGGAGGGGUAUUUUCAAUAUUAGCCUUCUAAGAGGGGUAAAUCGAAAAGUCGGAAACUUUUCAGGGGUAUAUAAGAAAUUGCCCCUAUUUUAAACUAAUAGUUGUGGACUUAUGGAUAAACUCUGAAUGUGAAUAUGAAUGUGAAUGGUGUAUGAAUGUGUGUAUAUUCAUAUGUGGUGAUUGUAUCCUGUAUUAUAUGUCUUGUACUUGUGUGACGCCGUGCAAAUACAAGGGAGAUUCUGUCCGUGUGAACAAUGGACUCCCUAUAUUUGUGGCGGAUCUGGCAUAUCCUGGGGGUCAGGUUUUUCAAAAAAAAAUUUGGGCACUUCCGCAAUGACUUUUAUACCAAAAAGGGACCCCGAGGCGUGACAAUCUUAUACUUGUGCGAUGCCAUGCAAAUACAGGGUAGACUCUAUCCGUGUGAAUAGUAAAUUUUCUGUAUUUGUGGCGGAUCUGACAUACUCUGGGGUCAAGGUUUUCAAAAAAAUAAAAUAAAAUUGGGCACUUCCGCUUUGGCUUUUAAAUCCAAAAAAGGACCCCGGGGCAUGACAGAUUAAAGUGGUAUCAGAGCCAGUUCACCAGCCGAAAAUGUGUGGCGAGUUUCGGCUGAGCCAGGGUCUGAAAGACAAGGUGAUAGGCUAUACCGGAGUCUGAAUGACAAGGUGACCGACUAUGCCAGGGUCUAGAUGACAAGGCUAGCAAGACGAAUCUCACAUCGCCUGGUGAUCUUUGGUUGUGUGUGUGAUUGGACUGACAAGGAUGCCAGAGCCUUAACGGGGGGAGUUUGUCACACCCCAAUAAUCCCACAUCGGAUAGGAAUGGGGAUGUGAUUGGGUAUAUAAGAAACUUAGACACUGGUAAUAAUAAUUGGGCUUCAGCAUUUUGGGCCGGUGGUUGGGCCCAACGAGUUAUUAUUGCUAGUGGGACGGGUUGUUACAUCCAGUAUCUAUAACUACGUUAUUGCUUCUAAUCCUUUUGUUGUGAUGUCAAGUUCUUUUAAUUUAAGGUACUAUAUUUUCUUAUGAUAUUAGUGUUAGGAUUUGGUUAGAUUUGUGGUUAGAUUUGUAGUUAAUUUUCUAGUUGGAUAAGAAUUAAUAUUUAAAUCUAUUGAAGAUAAAUUAAGAUUUAAAUAUUAAUUAAAGUAUAAAUGUAACUAAAUUAGAAUAAAUAUUUAAAUUUAUUGGAGAUAAACUAAAUAUAAAUUUAAAUAUUAUUUGGAGUAGGAAUCCUAAUUGUCCUAGGAUUUGGGUACAUCUUGGGUGGAGCCUUAUAUAUAGCUCCAUGUAUGCAAAUUGUUGAACGAGCCUAAAUGAUGUAAGGAUGAGAGAGAACCUUUUAUGGUGGUGACCGUACCGUAGAGAAGCCUAGGCCCAAUUGUGUGCACCUAGUGCACGGGUGCAUGUGAGAGAGAAAGAGAGUUGUCACUACAACAAAAUUGUCUUUUAGCGGUAAUUAUCUCAUAGAUUAGCGGCGAUUAUAAUCGCUGCUACUCUAUUUACCAGCAAUUGUAAUAAUUGCCACUAUAAAUCGGGUCGGUAAAAGUUUAGUGGCAAUUAUAUUGGCGGCCGGUAAAGAGCAAAACAAUUGCUACUAAAGAUUACUCUAUACCGGAAAUUAAAAAGGCCACUAACGCCAAAAUACAUUUGCCCAUAAAAUAUCUAACAUUAAUCACAAAUGCUAACAAAGAUAAGAUAAAUAGCCACUAAAUAUAAAAAAUAUUAAAUCAUCAUUAAAGUCAUAUAUUCAAUUAAUCACUAUAAAAAUUUCAAAAGAUAAUACAUAAACAAUAAAAAUAAAAAACCCAACAUUUCAUGAAUAUCAAAUAAGCUGAAUAUAAAAGUCUAUUACAUUAUCAAAAGUGUUGCGAGUACAAAUAAAUGUCAAAAUCAAUUUUUAUCACAAAACAAAUGUAAUUAAAAAGUUUUAUAGGCGAAAGGAAAGUUCUAUGCGCUCCAAUAGAAAAGUUCAAACUACACUUUACAAAGACUCAUCCUUCAAGAGUGAAGAUUCCAAUAGAAAAAAUUCAUGGGCUUAAGAAGAAUAAUCUGCAAGACAAAUAUAUAAGAAUAGCGGUUAAAAAAUUAUUAACAAAUAUGUUAAGAAAAUAUAUUUAGAAUAUACAAGAAAUUCUAGAUUACCAUGUCACUAAACCGAGGUGUACGAAAAAGAACUAAAGCAUCCUACAUUUUGUGCAACUUUGUCAUAAUGGGCACUCGAAUCAUCAAGAACCUAUUUUACAGCCAUAUAAGAAAAACAACUUACAACAAUAUCUUCUCAUCUACCAUUUGAAAUUGAAGAAAUGCAAUUUCAAAAAAAAAAAAGGAAAAUCCUCAAUAGUAGCUAUAAUUUUGGCAUCUGGUUGUUAGGAACUAUUACAUCACCAAAGAAGAUUAUAUCAAAAGAAGUAAAUUAGAAGAUCCAAAUGACAAAAUAAAGAGAGCUUGUUGUUAUCUAGACAUGACCAGUGUUACGGUUAAAAUGAUCAAACGAUGUGAUGUCAUAGUAAGCUAAAUGCAAUCAACUUUAUGGAGAAGAAUAAUUUAAGCUUUCGUUGAUCAACAUAGAACCCUGAUCUCAAAUACAGAACUAAUUUGCUACUGCGGUACAAAUAUCUAUCUAUAAUACACCAAAAUGUCUUAAAAAAGCAACAUAACAAAGAAAAUUAAAUUGUACCUUUAUUUUGUGAUGACUGCCAAUUAGAAGAAGCUUGUCUGCACUUUGCAUGUUAGUUAUUACCACCUGAGAAACAAAUUAAAUGCAAAGCUAAAACUGAUUGUUUUGGAAAUUGAAAAAUCAACGACAUUGUUACCAAUCAUGAGCCAAUUAUACAACAAAAGAACACACAUAUGCGACCUUAGCGAUAAGCAUGCAAAAAGUUAAUGUGGAAAAUAGAGCAAAAAGUUUAAUUAAGAUGCUAAACAUUACAUGAAAAACAGAAGUUGUGAAAAGCAAUCUAUAGGCUCUUGUUCUGCGAGAAUCACGUAGUGCCCAACAAGUUGCAUUAAUAUUCAUCUAAAUUUAGCUACGAAUACAAUAAAUAAGAUACAGUGUAAACUACGAGACGUUAACAUAAAUCUGUCUACUCAAUUGUCCAAAUAAGACUCAAAAUUCACUAAAUGGCCCACUAGUUGACAUCUAAUGAUUCUCGAACAUGCCCCAACUACAUUUUUCUCCCUUUUUACAUUCGAACUGAUCUUAUGAUUUCGUUGCACCUCCCUCACUGUUUGUUUGUGCUUUAGGCCUUUAGGCAUGAUUUUCUAGAUGGUUGAUGCCAUGUUGAGCAGACAACGAAAAUAUAAAAAAUGUUGUUGGGUCCUUAAUUUGAGUUAAGUGAGAAAAGGCUGUGAUGAUGAUAAAUACAUUCUUAAAUAUGAAGCAAAGAAACUCUACAUGCAAGUUAAGAAGACAAGCUGCUGAAUCUUGUCAAUAAGUAAAUCCGUCAAGUUACUUCAAACUUCAUCAUCAAAAUGUAUAUAAAAGAUGGCUUCUAUUAAUUACUCAUAUAGUAGUAUAACAAACCAAUUUAAAAGUUUGAUAUAUGCACAAGAGAUAGCAAGCAAAAACAUCAAGACCCAAGGCCUGACAAUCCACCUCAAAUCAAUUUAAAAGUUUAAUAUUGUACAAAUUACAAUGUCUUCCAAAUGAGGUUAAAAGGGAAAAGAAGUACUGUAGUGUCAAAUAACAACUGCGAAAAAAAUUGUUUCAGAACCCAAGAAAUGGAACACUUUCCCAUUGAUUUCGACCUCAUACGAUCCCAUGACUUCUUGAAUUGCACCACCAACAUCGCAAAGUCGUACAUCUAUCCCAGCUUCCCACAGAAAAGGACAAUAUUUCAACAAUAUGAAAGUUGACAUGGUUUUCACACACCAGUGUUUGCUAGGACUAGUACAUCAUUGACAAUCUAUCAUCUUUAGGGAUUGCAACAUCUGACAAUCAUCCAUCUAUAAAGAUAAAAUUAAUAAGUUGAAACUCCAGAACCAUAAUUAGCUAACAAAGUAAACUUAUCUAUAAUCUAUAAUGAUGAAAUCAAUGGACACCAUCUCCAUUCUGGUGCUUGGCUCCUAUAGAUCAAUGUGCUAUGAAGGACUGCUCAAGCAGUAGAAAAUGACUAUCAAAGAUUCAGCAAUGAUCAAGUACAUGUUGGUCGAUGAUUGCUUCCUAAUUGUUGCUAAUCAGUGAACCUGGAACUUAAGACAUAACGGGCAGGAACACACUAUAUACUCCUUGGUUAGUUAGGCCUUUCAAUUCGUAAAUGCACGUGAAGCUAACAAGUUAGUGAAAAAGAAUCACAAGCUCUAUUCUACAUGCCCACCCAUCCACCCAUCCCAUGUGUUAUAUUUGGUUUAGAUUUGUAGUUAUCUAAAUUGGAGUUAAAUCCUAAUCUAAUUGGGAUUGGAUAUAAUUUAGAUUUAAUUUGGCAUAUAUGGAUUAUGAGUCGGAAUCUAAUUUCUAAUUGAAUUAGGAUUAGACUCUACUUAGGAGACAUGUAUUAUAAAUACAUGCUACGGUCAAAUUAAUCGUCGCGACUCAAAUUAAGGGCCAUGCAAAUUAAUUAAAUUAAGGGUGGUCAUGUUGCGGCUGCGCGCGGUGUGAGAGCCUCUGUUGGGAUCUAAUUAAUGAAGGCAAUGUUGUGCAUAAGAAGCCAUGCUAAUUAAACCGCAUGUUCGAGAGAGUUGACCAAGCUUGGUGGUUCGUACGGUAUGAGGAGCCGUGGUGUUAAUUAAGCCGAGCCACGUUGGAGUUGCUUGUUGCGGCGUUUCCGAUCUAUUUAGAGUUCGGGGUCUUUUUGUUAUAUUUGGUUUAGAUUUGUAGUUAUCUAAAUUGGAGUUAAAUCCUAAUCUAAUUGGGAUUGGAUAUAAUUUAGAUUUAAUUUGGCAUAUAUGGAUUAUGAGUCGGAAUCUAAUUUCUAAUUGAAUUAGGAUUAGACUCUACUUAGGAGACAUGUAUUAUAAAUACAUGCUACGGUCAAAUUAAUCGUCGCGACUCAAAUUAAGGGCCAUGCAAAUUAAUUAAAUUAAGGGUGGUCAUGUUGCGGCUGCGCGCGGUGUGAGAGCCUCUGUUGGGAUCUAAUUAAUGAAGGCAAUGUUGUGCAUAAGAAGCCAUGCUAAUUAAACCGCAUGUUCGAGAGAGUUGACCAAGCUUGGUGGUUCGUACGGUAUGAGGAGCCGUGGUGUUAAUUAAGCCGAGCCACGUUGGAGUUGCUUGUUGUGGCGUUUCCGAUCUAUUUAGAGUUCGGGGUCUUUUGAGAGAUUUUCUUGUACUCCGCCUUUUCGACAUUAAUAAAUUAUUUGCUCCGUCUUCGCCCGUGGACGUAGGCCGUUGGCCGAACCACGUAAAUAUCGGUGUGUUCUUUCCUUAUCUUUUCUUUUCUUGCAUUAAAUUAUUUUUCUGGAUCUAUUUUUCGCCGUUCCGAUUUCAACACCAUGCCACCCCAAACCCCCAACCAUAAUAGAGAAAUAAAAAAAGGAGGACAAAUUUUCUACCGUAGUUCCAUACCUUCAGUUGCAAAUACAUUGAAUCCUGCAGUUCAACAAAAGUUGUCUAACUAUAGCUCAACUAAAGAAUCAGAAACUCCUUGUUCCAGCAAAUAUCGAAAUUAUGAAAGAACAAUCAGUAGGUAGUCAUAGGAAAACUAAAGACAACCAGAUAACAUUUACGGAACUCUUCUAGUAGAUAUUUCAAGAAAUAACAUCUACAAUAAGAAUCUUGCAAAUUAACCUGCAUAGGAAGUAAGAAAUCAAAAUAUACUAUACGGGGCCCAUUUUACCAUAAAAUAUUCAAAAGAAAAUACUAGAAAAUCAUAAAUGACUAUCAUGACAUUACGUUAAAAAAGAAAGACUAGAAUGGGAUGGACAUUACAACAAAAACGGUCUGUAGCGACACUUUUAAAUGUAGGUACAUGUCAAAAAAGUGCUGCUAGCUAAAAUUACCGACACUUUUAAAAAGUGUUGCUAUAUGUGGGGUCGCUAGGUAUAUAGUGACAGUUAAAGAGUGUCGCUAUAACCUAAAAGAGUGCUGCUAAUUUACCAACACUUAUUUAAGCAUUUAGCAACCGCCGAAACUCUAUAUCGUUGGCUGCGGUGGCGGAGGAGGACGACAGGAAAGGCUCUUUGUCUAGAAUUUUAGUAGAUUGAGUGAAGAGAGAAGAAAAGAUGGUAAUUAAUUUUUCUUUUUUUUUUUCUUUUCUGUUUGUAAUCGGGCCAAAUGGACUGGGUGUGGUGGGUUGAGUAGAGUAAUCUUUUAUUUUUGGUUGGAUUGGACUUUAUAUUUAGACAUUAGUAGAUGUUUUUUUAAGUUUUAGGAUAAAUGGAACACUUACUCAAAAGUGUCCCAAACAUGUGUCCCUAUAAUCUAAUUCUGUUGUAGUGGGACAAGCCCCCCCAAAAAAAUGAUAAAAAUAAAAGAAGCAUCUGUGCUGAAUUUGUGUUUCAUUCUUUAUCUACAAAAAUGAUGCUGCUCGUCUGAGACAGCUUUAACACUCUCUUCCUCCAGCUUCAUCAAGAAGAGAGAACAUGGUUGUCAAUAUGCAUAGCUGAUACAGGAGAUGCCACUUCGAUUGAGUUAACUAUGGAAAACAUUAAUAUAGUGCUUUACUAAUCCACAAAUACUGAGAUUUAGAUGUUCACCACAUUCAUUCUGCUAGCUUACCAUUUUCAUCAUAUGUUUGUUAGAGGAAUUUGAGAAAUAGAUGAAUAACAGGAUGGAAAAAAAAGAAAAUUUGUUACCAUUUUCAUCAUAUUCUUGAUUUUUUGCAUGGUCUAUCACAUAAGACGAAAAAAAUCACAUAAUAAGAUAAAAUUAUUAAGAGAGUAUGAGCAGAGAUUUAUCGGUUAAGCCCCGUGGAUAUACCUUUGACAGCAAUUGACAUGAACGCCCAACUGGUAGUCAGACAAUAUGAAACAUUCUUAGUUCAGAGACACUAACAGAAGGCAAAAUUUAAGUUAGGAAAAAAGUAUUUAUGCUAUAGUGUUGAGUUUUAAGGACUUUUUAAGAGAAUAGUAGACGAACCGAAGUGUUGUUUACCAUAAUUAAGCCAACUUUUCAUAACAAAUAGGCAUGUAGCAUUGUGUUUAAUUCUACUUGACCAAUCCUCCUUAGAUAUGAAGUGUUAUUAACCAGAAAUAAGCAUGCGUUUACAUGCAAUCAAUGCUUAUAGGAGCUACCACUAAGAUCAACAGAUAAGACAAAUACGCACUCAAGACGACGAUGAAUUUGUUGAUUUUGCCACUAGAGUCAACAACAUUCCUACAACCCAUUCUGUAGGCAAAGCUACGAUUCAGGAAGGCUCCAACAUACAAACAACGAGUUUUAUAUUCACCAAAUAUAAUUAUACAUCGCGAUUAUCAUACUAAAAUUAGUAAACCCAGUAAGAGAUAUAAAGGAUACUGCAAAUAAAGCAAGUUAGAAACUUAAAACAAGUCCCAAUCCGACCUCAAAACCAAUAGCAGCACAGCACAAGUGUUUGAUAAAAUGCAUGCAUCAGAGAAAACGAAUAAGAAUUAGACCACCAUAACACACGAUCCUUACCGAGAACUACAUGAAAACGAAUAAGAAUUUUUGUAAUGAUGAAACAAAAAUAAGAUUUUAGAUUUUAAAUGCAGAUGCUUAGAGAUGUAAGGGUGUUGAAAAGACAAAAACAUCCUACAAGAAUAUAUACAGUUGCUCAUAAACUGAUGCUAAAUUAUAAAGCACAAAAAGCUGGGAACUCUUAACCAGAUAUUCCAGAUUUGUAUGGGAUUUCAUUUUAAACAAAUAGCAUAAUUUUUCUAGAGAAUUAAUUCAUUACUAGAGCAUUCAAUUAAUUAAUUAAAACAUUAUUGGAGUAAUGUGAUUUGUGUUUCUUUCACUAGUGAACUGGUAUACAUUCAUUCAGCUCAUACAACCAUCUACCGCCACAGCCCAUUGAAAACAACUAAAAAGAACACUAUUUAAUCAUAAGCAUGUUCAGAAGUUAGAAAUUCAGGACAUUCUCUUGUAAGCUAACACCAGCUGUACUGUUAAAACACGAUUCAAUUUUCAGUAAGGAUGUAGAAUAAAAAAGAUAGAUGAAGAAAAACAAGAGGUAUAACAGAGAAAACAAAUUCAUCUAAUAUGCCAGGAUAGAAAUGUGAAAGAAAAUGUUGCAUAUUUAAUAAGUUUGAAACAUCUGUUGGCAGUAAACUAUGCAGAGGUUGCUUGCAAAAGAUCAUGAAAGGGAUAAAAAGGACAGUAGUGGAGAGAGAUUAAGAUUCAACUACAAUUGCCGAACUGCAUAAAUGAAAACUCUUAUUAGUAUAGAGCCCUUCAUACUCAUAAGUUGUUUUCAAUGAUUGAGCUUCUGAAUCAAUGAUCCACUCCAUUAAAUAUGAUCUAGAGUAUUUGAAACUUCUAGAAAAUAAAUUUCGUAAUUUUUCAAAAUCAUAAUAAAGUUCAUCAAGCGGAUAUAAAAUGAACGGUCAAAAUCGAACGACGUCCUAAAAAUAGAUGAUCGGAUCCUUCAAUUUAAGAUCGGAGUUAUUGAUCUUUAUCUAGGUAGUGAAUAGAAUUUUCUAUCAAAGAUUCAAAUGAUUCUGAUUCUUUUACACCGUUAAACUAUCAAGUAUCUCAUAUCGGCCGUUAAAAAUUAUCAAUUUUGUGACCUUUUGAUCGAAAGGUAAUGAUGUUGAAAAAUUAUAAAAUUUGAUUUUUAGACAUUUUAAAUGCUUUAGAUAACGUCUAAUGGUAUGGAUCGUCGAUUCGGAAGCUCUAUCAUCGAAAACGACUUAUGAGUACGAGGGCGAUCGUACUCAUAAGAGUAUAGUAGCCGGACUCUAUAUAUCUAUAUAUAUGAAAAUUUCAAAUUCAAAUUUCAAAUUCGGAUUCUUAGGUAUUACAUUUUCUUUGUUAUUAUGUUUAUAAUUUAUCAUGUCUCAUAGAUAGUAAAACCAAAGUUAGAUAUUAAAUAUUAUCCACCCGCCGCAUCGCGUAGGUCACAAGACUAGAUUAUAUAUAUUUUAUAUUUUCAUUUAUUUAAUUAAUAGGAGUCAUUCACUAGUCACUUAAUAAGACUAGAGAAAAAAUUCCACCGAUUGCAUCGGUAAAAUAUAAAAUAUAUACUCUGACAAGUAGCAUUUAUCCGGUUAUAAAGAUAAAAUUGUUAGGAUUUUCAUAAAUUGUGGUCCAAUUAAUCAUAUUUAAAUUUAGAUUUACUGUAGAUAAAGGUCAAUCCUAAUAGAUAUACAACUACUUAAUAUAGUAUAUUUUAUUCCUAUCCCAUCUAUCUAAGUGUAACGACCCAGCCCACUAGCAACAAUAACUCGUUGGGCCAACAACCAGCCCAAAAUGCUUAAGCCCAGUUAUUAUUACUAGUGUCUAAGUCUCUUAUAAACCCAAUGACAACCACAUUCCCAUCCGAUGUGGGAUUAUUGGGGAGUCACAGACUCCCCCCGUUAAGGCCCUGACGUCGUCGUCAGUCCAAUCACACACACAGCCCAAGAUCACCAGGCGAUGUGAGACUCGUCUCGCUAGCCCGUCAUCCAGACCCUCGCUCAGCCGAGACUCGCCACACAUGUCCAUGUAAGGACUGAGAUUUUUACAGUGCAACUAAACUCUCUGUUGAUGAUGUUUAUGUGUGUAAUUUAAUUACAUAAGCACUCAUCAAGUUUCAGGAGAAAAUGAGCUAAAAUGGAGAAGUUACGCGAUUAUUAGUUUUCACUUAAGUGAAUAGUAACUCCGGUUUUUCGGUGAAGCCACGGAGUAGAGUUGGCUUUCGGCGCUUAUCGGACUCCGUUCAUAGCAAUCCAAUAGCUCGUUUCGAUCGGGUCAGCUAUUCUGGAACCAAUGGCACUGACGAAUUUCAGAUUCGAUGCACGGUUUUCGAGAAAAAGGAGUUUUACCNNNNNNNNNNNNNNNNNNNNNNNNNNNNNNNNNNNNNNNNNNNNNNNNNNNNNNNNNNNNNNNNNNNNNNNNNNNNNNNNNNNNNNNNNNNNNNNNNNNNNNNNNNNNNNNNNNNNNNNNNNNNNNNNNNNNNNNNNNNNNNNNNNNNNNNNNNNNNNNNNNNNNNNNNNNNNNNNNNNNNNNNNNNNNNNNNNNNNNNNNNNNNNNNNNNNNNNNNNNNNNNNNNNNNNNNNNNNNNNNNNNNNNNNNNNNNNNNNNNNNNNNNNNNNNNNNNNNNNNNNNNNNNNNNNNNNNNNNNNNNNNNNNNNNNNNNNNNNNNNNNNNNNNNNNNNNNNNNNNNNNNNNNNNNNNNNNNNNNNNNNNNNNNNNNNNNNNNNNNNNNNNNNNNNNNNNNNNNNNNNNNNNNNNNNNNNNNNNNNNNNNNNNNNNNNNNNNNNNNNNNNNNNNNNNNNNNNNNNNNNNNNNNNNNNNNNNNNNNNNNNNNNNNNNNNNNNNNNNNNNNNNNNNNNNNNNNNNNNNNNNNNNNNNNNNNNNNNNNNNNNNNNNNNNNNNNNNNNNNNNNNNNNNNNNNNNNNNNNNNNNNNNNNNNNNNNNNNNNNNNNNNNNNNNNNNNNNNNNNNNNNNNNNNNNNNNNNNNNNNNNNNNNNNNNNNNNNNNNNNNNNNNNNNNNNNNNNNNNNNNNNNNNNNNNNNNNNNNNNNNNNNNNNNNNNNNNNNNNNNNNNNNNNNNNNNNNNNNNNNNNNNNNNNNNNNNNNNNNNNNNNNNNNNNNNNNNNNNNNNNNNNNNNNNNNNNNNNNNNNNNNNNNNNNNNNNNNNNNNNNNNNNNNNNNNNNNNNNNNNNNNNNNNNNNNNNNNNNNNNNNNNNNNNNNNNNNNNNNNNNNNNNNNNNNNNNNNNNNNNNNNNNNNNNNNNNNNNNNNNNNNNNNNNNNNNNNNNNNNNNNNNNNNNNNNNNNNNNNNNNNNNNNNNNNNNNNNNNNNNNNNNNNNNNNNNNNNNNNNNNNNNNNNNNNNNNNNNNNNNNNNNNNNNNNNNNNNNNNNNNNNNNNNNNNNNNNNNNNNNNNNNNNNNNNNNNNNNNNNNNNNNNNNNNNNNNNNNNNNNNNNNNNNNNNNNNNNNNNNNNNNNNNNNNNNNNNNNNNNNNNNNNNNNNNNNNNNNNNNNNNNNNNNNNNNNNNNNNNNNNNNNNNNNNNNNNNNNNNNNNNNNNNNNNNNNNNNNNNNNNNNNNNNNNNNNNNNNNNNNNNNNNNNNNNNNNNNNNNNNNNNNNNNNNNNNNNNNNNNNNNNNNNNNNNNNNNNNNNNNNNNNNNNNNNNNNNNNNNNNNNNNNNNNNNNNNNNNNNNNNNNNNNNNNNNNNNNNNNNNNNNNNNNNNNNNNNNNNNNNNNNNNNNNNNNNNNNNNNNNNNNNNNNNNNNNNNNNNNNNNNNNNNNNNNNNNNNNNNNNNNNNNNNNNNNNNNNNNNNNNNNNNNNNNNNNNNNNNNNNNNNNNNNNNNNNNNNNNNNNNNNNNNNNNNNNNNNNNNNNNNNNNNNNNNNNNNNNNNNNNNNNNNNNNNNNNNNNNNNNNNNNNNNNNNNNNNNNNNNNNNNNNNNNNNNNNNNNNNNNNNNNNNNNNNNNNNNNNNNNNNNNNNNNNNNNNNNNNNNNNNNNNNNNNNNNNNNNNNNNNNNNNNNNNNNNNNNNNNNNNNNNNNNNNNNNNNNNNNNNNNNNNNNNNNNNNNNNNNNNNNNNNNNNNNNNNNNNNNNNNNNNNNNNNNNNNNNNNNNNNNNNNNNNNNNNNNNNNNNNNNNNNNNNNNNNNNNNNNNNNNNNNNNNNNNNNNNNNNNNNNNNNNNNNNNNNNNNNNNNNNNNNNNNNNNNNNNNNNNNNNNNNNNNNNNNNNNNNNNNNNNNNNNNNNNNNNNNNNNNNNNNNNNNNNNNNNNUACCGAAAAGAGGGUUUCCGCUCUUUGCUAUUCGUGCAUUUUUAAAACUCCUCGUGCUUGUACAAGUGAUCUGGAGAUAGGUGAGAGUUGUUUCUGUACCGUAACUGGUGUGUAGGGAAUUCAAAUUUGAAUUUGAAUUAAGAUUUAGGGUUAUGCUUUGGUAUAUGUGCGAUAUACGGAUUAAUUAGAGAGCGGAUGGGUUCCGUCGCGAAUCCGUGACCAAAUCGGACGAAUCAACAUUGUAGUUUUGAUGCCCCCGGUGCUGAACCCGCAAUGGUGCUGUCGGAUCGAAAAUCCGACGGACGGAUUCCGAAAAUUACGAGAUUUUCGCUGAGGGGUCAAUGUGGCAAAACGGAUAAAUCGCGAAGAGGCCCUAUAUUUUAAUGCGCCCAUUUUGCGAGAUUUUGAACGUCUAGGUGCGUACUCGCAAUAUACCGUGCAGUGAGGGACUGGACUAAUAAAAUAUUACCUCUGAGGACCUUUUGCAAAUGCAUAUAUAAUUGAUAUAGGUUGCUGUCUAGGGUUUCAUGGUGAACACCCUAGCUUUGGACUUUCCCUCACCAAACUGAACCCCCACCGCCCCAACUGCACCCUUGCCCCUGCCAUGCGCGCACACACAGCCGCCGGCAGGUGCUCCGGCCGCCGGGAAACCUCUCCUCCAGCACUUUCCCACCUAUUCCACCUCCUCGGCCAUGCAACCCUGAAGGAGCUUCACAAACACCUUUGUGAUACUCUCCUUGCCGAGAUCCACUCUCCGGGCGCCCGUACCAUGCGUGUCCCACCGCCGCGCACACCGCCGGCUUGCCGCCACAACCGCCGCGCCAGCUCGGGUCAGCACUAGGUCCGAGCGCGCCCAGCUUGGGGCGCGGCGUUGGACCCGCACAGCUUGCGGUCGCGCCUGAUCUCUGCCGGCUCCGCACAUCCCGCUCGGCCGCCGCCCGCCGCGCCGCCGUCCCGGAGCGCCGACGGAGCCGCCUAACUCCUCUGCGGCGACCCUCGGGUCAGACCAGACUGAGCACGCGGGUGGACUCGAGGCCCCAACGCCGCGCCACUCCAUCCGGCCGCGCCGUCAUCCCUGACAGCUCCGCGACCUCCGGCGUGCGUCCCGGCCAUCCGCCACCACGGCCGCCGCGCCCGAGCUCCUGGCGGCCGCCAGUUCGCAGAUCGGGCGAGGCGAGCCUCGUGCCUCGACUCAUCCGGACUCGGCUGACCAUGAGGUGAGAACUGUGAUCGGACUGAAUGGACGAUGCACGCAGUGCUCCACCUCCGGCGGGCAUCGGAACGGCCCCAGUCGCGAACAAUUGAGUCUAAACAGGUGACAAAGCGGAGAACAAGCAAAAACAUUGGCUUACGGCACAGGGCAGAGCUAGGGCUGGCCGUCGGCGGCCGACGGCGUGCGCUUGCGGAGCCAGGAAGAUGGGAGCUAGCUGGUCCAGGGGUCCCGGGAACCUGCUGGCCGUCGGUCGGAGGCCGCCGGUGGCUGCGGCGGAGGCGAUUACAUUCCUCCAACAGCUCUCGUCAGGAGGUCCGCUAGGCGGCCGGUCGGCGACGCGGAGGAGCUCCGGGCGGCGACGAUACCGUCGGCGGAGGCCUAGAGGGGGUGGUGCUCGCUCUCGCAUAGCGGCUGCUGACUUUGCGGAGGCCACGAGGCUCAGCGUCGCCCGCAUCGCGACUGGCGCCGCAGGAGCUUCGGGGCGGCGGCCGCGUGGGUCGGGGAUUGGCCGGGCGCACGCCGGAAGGCUCGCCGGAGGCUGGAGGGAUGACGGCAGCGGCCGGAUGGAGUGGCUGGCGGCGCUGCGCCUGCUGAGCCGACUCCGUGCUCAGUCUGGGCUGACCGUGGGUUGGGCCGCAGGGAGCUCAGGGGACUCCGUACGGCAGCUCACGGGACGCGGGGCGGCGGCGCGGCGAGCGGAUGUCGCGGAUGGCCGGAAGGAAGAUCAGGGCGAACCAAGCUGGGCGGUUCAUCUGAAAUUCGUCAGUGCCAUUGGUUCCAGAAUAGCUGACCCGAUCGAAACGAGCUAUUGGAUCGCUAUGAACGGAGUCCGAUAAGCGCCGAAAGCCAACUCUACUCCGUGGCUUCACCGAAAAACCGGAGUUACUAUUCACUUAAGUGAAAACUAAUAAUCGCGUAACUUCUCCAUUUUAGCUCAUUUUCUCCUGAAACUUGACGAGUGCUUAUGUAAUUAAAUUACACACAUAAACAUCAUCAACAGAGAGUUUAGUUGCACUGUAAAAAUCUCAGUCCUUACAGUCCAGUUGGUGAACUGGCUCUGAUACCAAAUGUAACGACCCAGCCCACUAGGAACAAUAACUCGUUGGGCCCAACAACCGGCUCAAAAUGCUUAAGCCCAGUUAUUAUUACUAGUGUCUAAGUCUCUUACAAACUCAAUAACAACCCCAUUCCCAUCCGAUGUGGGAUUAUUGGGGUGUCACACUAAAUUAAAUAGAAUACUAAUCAGACUUUGAUGGAAAGUCGAUCUGGACUCUAUAUAAAAAGGUAUUGGUCCUGCCACCUUCUCAAACACAUUAGGGUGAAGAAUUAUCAUCGGUUCCACACCAUACGGCAGAGGGCUUGAGAUAGGAGAAGAAAUCAAAUUACCCAAGUUCGGUUCGUGACUUCAAGAUCAUAGCCAAACUUCUCGCUUUCGCAGAUUGAUCAGAACAUUCUUCUCUAUGACCCUCUGUGAGUUAUUUUAUUUUAUGUGAUCAUGAAUUUUGGUAUGUAUUUAAUUUUCUUCUUAUUUUACAUAUCUAUAAAGGUCUGUCAAUUUGAAUCGAAGCCAAAACGAUAAGUUGAUAUUGUAUGCAUUAAAUAGUUGGAUUGAAUUAUGAUGAAUUUUGGAUUAAUUAAAUACACGAUUUUUGAUCUUUAAAUCUACUUAUAUUUAUUUUUUCCUCAUGGCAUGCCAUAUGAGAUUUUGACGCGUCAUAUGCCUUAUAGUUUAGUCGUGGUCGUACAUUAUUGCGGCUAUUUUUUUGGGUGCUAUGCAUGUUUGGACGAAAGCCAACUAAUUCAGAAGAUAAUAAUUGUGGAGGCCAAAUUAAUUAUCAUCAGGUUCAUGGCUAAUUAAUUAAGACUGUUGGCCCGGCCUUGAGGAUGUAGGACAGCAGGAGNGGCUUAAUUAAUUAGCAUACCGUGAGGCUAAUUAAUUAAGGUGCCCCAAGUGCACAUCCGUACGGCAAGAGAAGGUGCCACAGUCUCGCCUGCGACGUCUGGAUCGGAGUCGGCGGCGAGCGGAGGUUCUUGACCAAUUACUUGAGCAGUUCGGAUUCUUCGAAACAAUGAAAUAAAGAAUUUUGGUCAAAGUUUUAAAUACUUCUCUAAUUUGGUCUUCUCGGUUUUACGAAAGGCUUUGUUCGAUUUUAUAUAAACAUAUUGUCAACUUAAACUUCUUUAUUCUUCCAAAUUCGAUCUGUUGGAGCUUUUAUGUUUAUUAAAGCGACGUGAACAUAAAGAAUCCGUUCACAUAAGGUUUCAAUUUUGCAUACAAUAUUAAAUUAUCAUAAAUUUAUUUAUCUUAUGUUUGUGGUCAAAUUAGAAUAUAUAAAGUUUAAAUUUGAUUGCGAUAUUAUGUUUUAAAUUAUCACAUCUAUAUUCUUAUUUUGACCGGAUGAAUAUGAAAAUUAAAUAAUCAUAAUUGUUUUUUGAUUAUUUAAUGUUUGGCGCUAAGUUAAAUUAUUUAAUUAUUUCAAUUAGUUAGGUGCAACCAAAGCAGCCCUAAUUAAAAGAAUAAUGAUUUAAUUUGCUUUAAAGUAGUGCUUCCAGAUAAUUUUCAUAUUAAUCAUCCAGCACUAAAUCAUAUUAAUUUAUUACUUCAACUGUUCGGGAGCAAAUCAAAGCGGCCUCAAUCGGAAGAAAGGAUAAAUUAAUUGCUUUAAAGAUGUGCAUGCAGAAAUUACACCCUAAUAUUAUAUUUAGUCUGCUCCCAAAGGAGGUCUAGACAUAAAGGUACAUGGGUGGUGUAGGAUGGUAAUUUUCUUAUAAUUCGUUUGAAAAAAUUUGUCUGGCCAAAGCUAACAAUUUCUUCAUAUGGAAAAUUUAAAAUUACUACGACCUGUAGAAAGUUUAAAUUAGUCUCUGAUAAAAAGAUUGCAUAUUUAUGCUUAUAACUCUGCUCCCAAAGAAAAUGUCGUGAUGUCAUAUAAAGCAUAUGCAUAAGGAAUGAAAAAAUACUUAUGCUCAUAACUUUGCUCCCAAAAGAAGUGUUGUGAUAUCAUAUAAAGUGUAAUUUUUCUAAUUUUGGUGUGGUAAUUUUUGAUGUCGUAUUUUAUUGAUAAAGCAUGCAUUUAAUUUUUUAGCUAUGAUUUCAUCCUUUGUUCCUAUUGGUGACUCUGUUCCUACGCUUAAUGAUUCUAAUUACUCGAAGUGGAAAGAACAGAUCGUGCUUACAUUAGGGUGUAUGGAUCUUAAUUUGGCUUUAAGAAAGGAUAAACCUACUCCUCUUAUAGAUAAAAAUACGCCAAUCCAAAUAGCAUUUUCAGAAAGGUGAGAGCGCCUUAAUCGGCUUAGUUUAAUGUUGAUGAAAGCGUGGGUCGGCAAAUACAUUUGGAAUUCAAUUCCAGAAUGUAAGUCAGCUCGUGAUUUCUUGAAUUCUGUGGAGCAAUAGUUUGUAAGCUGCAAUAAAGCUUUGGCGAGCACCCUUAUAUAUACUGUCUUCCACAAAGUACUUCAGAAAUGGCUCGAUUCACGAGCAUAUUAUGGAAAUGCGAGAUAUUGCAGCGCAGCUCACUGCACUUGAAGUAACCAUUUCUGAUUCAUUCUUAAUACACUUUAUUUUGAACUCUUUGCUAUCUGAAUACGGAUCAUUUCAGAUCUCUUAUAACACACAUAAAGAUAAAUGGUUAAUUAAUGAAUUGUUGACCAUAUGUGUGCAAGAGGAAGGCAGAUUAAUACAAGAGAAAUAAAUGCAGUUAACUUUGUGUCUCAAAAGAGACAAAUAAAACGUGCUAAAAAUGAUAAGGGAAAGAAUGACUCAAAAAGAAAGAAUAAAGAAGUUACAUCUAGUUCACAAAGCCAAUCAAGUAAUUGGAUUCCCAAGUGCUUCUUUUGUAAGAAAACUGGUCAUAUAAAGAAGGACUGCCAAAAGUAUCAGAAAUGGCUCCAGAAGAAAGAAAAGUUUCUAGUUUUGAUGCAUGAGUUGCAUUUAGUUACUGUUCUGUCUAAUAUUGGUCGAUUGACUCUGAUGCCACAUGCCACGGGGCGAAUUCCGUGCAGGGAAUUCAGAACCGCAGAAAACCCAGUAAAGAUGAAGCAACUAUCUAUAAAGCUGAAGAAAAUCCAACUAUAGUAUUUGUAGGAACAUUUAGAUUAGUCUUUCUACUGGUCAUAUUUUGGAUUUAGAAGAAACAUUUUAUAUUCCAAAUUUUUCUAAGAACUUAAUUUCUAUUUUAAAACUUGUUGGAUUGGGAUAUAAUUUCAGUUUUGAUACUAAAAUUUUUUCUUUAUCCUACAAAUUUCAAAUAGUUGGUUCUAGUGUUUUGAAAAAAUAUCUAUAUAAAGUACUUUUAGAUCAUUCAUAUAGUAAAAUUCUUCUUACCAUGCACGAAAAUGUUGGAUCAAAACAUAGCAUUAAUAAUAAAAUGUCAUCCAUAUUAUGGUAUAAGAGGUUGGGACACAUCAUGUCACGCCCCGGGGUCCCUUUUAGUUUGAAAAUACAGCGGAAGUGGCUAGAAAAAAUUUUUUUUUUCUGAAAACCCGACCCCAGGGUGUAAUAUACCGAAAACUCGAAAAAUAAAAAUGUCGAACUUUAGUCAAAUUGACCAAAGUGCGAGGAUGGAACACUUCGGAAAGUCCGAAGGUGUUAAAAUGAUCAAAAGUGAGUUGUGGAAGGUUUUCGAGAGCUAAAGAAUCAAAUUCUGCGAAACUGCAGAUUUUCAGCUCUCGGGGACCGGUCCCUGGUGGGAGAGACUGGUCCCCGAACGCGUAUGAAAUGAGACAGCCGAAAAAUCGGCUAAGUCCUGGAAGAUUAGCUCUCGGGAACCGGUCUCUGCCUGAGAGACCGGUCCCCCAGAGACCGGUCCCAUCAGAGAGAGACCGGUCGCAUCGCGGGCAGCGGCUCUGGCUGCGCAGGGUGGACGUUCGAGAACCGGUCCCUGCUCGGGGAGACCGGUCUCUGCCUGCGAAAACUGCCCAGUUCGGGCAGUGUAUUAAGGUGAAAGUUGAGGGGUUUUCUUGCAUUUUUGCAACCCAUUGAGCUAUGUUAGUGGGCUGAGGGGCUUUUCCUCUCAUUCCACUCUCUCUCACAUCCUCUCCUCUCUUUCUCUCUCUAGAAGACAAAGAAGGAGAAGAAGAAGACAAAGAAAGGAGGAAAAAGAAGGAAAAGAAGGUGAAGAAGAAGAUCAAGUAGUGAACCUACCUCUUCUCCUUCCUCCUUGGAGCAACUUUGGGAAAGCUUUGAGGUAAGCUUUGAUCCCAAGUAUAGUAAAACCCUAGAAUGAGUUUUGAAUGACCUAGAAAUGGGUUUUAAUGGAAUGAUCAAAGAGUUUUGAAGCUUCCUUUUGCUUCUAAAGAGAUCAAAACCUUGGUUUGCUAUAGAGGUGAGCUUGGACCACCUCUAAUGGUGAAAUCUAAUCUAGGGUUUUGGAAAGCCUAAGAAUGGUUCUAAUGGAUUAUUUAGAGUAUAAUGAAGCUACUUUUGCUUCCCAAUGAGAUCAAACCCUAGGUUUUGAUAUACAUUGGAGCUAGGGCACCCAAAUUGGGGCUUUUGCUCAUGAAGGUUGCUAAGUGCAAUUGACCCUCUAAAAAUCUAAUUGGGGGUAUUUCCGACGCGUUGGUGCGCUCGGAUUAACGUUACGAAAAGCCGAUGAAAAGUUAUGGGCAAAAUGGCCUAAUAAGGGUUCGUUUUGCCGCAGGUAAAGAACGAAGCAUCUAAAAAUCCCAAGAAAAUCAUCGGAGCACCUUUGAAAGCCUACGAGGUGGGUGGUGCUUUCCAAACUCAUUGAAAUUCUCUCUAUGCCUAAUGUGUCAUUCUUUGAGCAUAUGUUCUAUAUAUUGUUGCAUGCAUUUUAGGGUAAAGUAAUGAUGAAAUGUGAUGAUUGCAUGAUUGUGAGCACAACUUGCAUAAUGAGAUGGUUGAGAACCUAAUAAUGUCAAAACUCUAGAUGUAUGCAUGAGAGAAAAUGUGAACACCCAAAGUGAGCAAAAGAACAGAGUGGCACAAUGACAUAGAUCGAGUGGCAUUUGAAAAUGUAAAGUAAAGAGACACUAGAGUUAGUGUGAGGCAAAGAACCGAUGUAAUGUAAAGAAUGAUGAAAAUGACAAUGUGUAAAGCUAAAGCAAAGAGAGCAAUAAAGAACGUAUAAAGAAUAGAGAACGUGUAAAGCUAAAGAAUGUGAUUGCUAGAGUUAGCAAAAGUAAAAUAAAAUGCAAAGAUCAAUGAUUGCUAGAGUGGCAACAUAAAGUGAUGUAAUGAACACUAGAGUUAGUGUAAAGUCAAGAUUGAACAUAAAAUCCUUUGAGAUAAGGAUUUCGAUCAUGCUUGCUAUGAGUUCCGUGCUCGAGGGCGGUCGCUCCCCCUCGGGCGAUGCGCUCCGGAGUUAUGCAUCCGGGUUGGAGUAGACCCGUAAGGACGGUCCUAGCGGGUGAGUUCCUGCGAUGAUGGACUUAAUGUGAAGCAAGUUAAUGUGGCGAAACCCCGGGUUAGCCUUGAGAUUAAAGAACAAAGAGCAAAGAACAAAGUGUAAAGAACAAAGAACGAAGAGUAAAGUGAAAAGAAUAAAGAAUUUGCAUAAUCUGCAUAUGUUAAUGUUGAGCAUAUUCCUUGCUUUUGUUCAGGCAUAUUAGCAUCAUGUUAUAGAUUGGUUACUAUAUCUUACUUAUCCUUUCUAUUAUGCCUGAGUUAGUCCUAGUGGGAAAGUCGGUGAUGUUGGGGCCGAACCCACUGGGAACUUUGUUGUAGUUCUCACCCCACUAUUUCCACAGAGCCGGGACCGAGCGAGCCGGCGAGCGACCGAGGUAAAGGUAUCGCGCCUUAGUCAGAGGCCACCAAAGUUGGGUUACAUUUUGUUAGUAGCUACCCCAUGUUCAUCUUUUGUACUUGAUGAUUAGUAAUGUAAGGAAAAGAAUGUAAAGCUUAUUUUGAGGGAAAUGUGAUGCAAGAAAGAAAUGAUGAAAUGAUGUAAUGAAUGUAAGAAUUCGAUAAAUUACUAGAUGAAUGCAAUGUAUAUGAUCUAAAAUGAAUUAUAUUACUUGUGAAUGUUUAGUUUUCUUUUUCUUUCACUAAUGGCUAUUGCUUACCCUCGCGUAAGCCGUUUGUGUAUGUUUCCGCUAGUGCUUUUCUCUAUUGAUGAAAUUGUACAUGUGAUGAGCCUUGGGCGGAUAGGGGAAACUCUGUCCGUUCGGCGUCUGUUUGACGUGCUCGGGUCGGGCCAAAUUGGCAUCGGUCCCGGGGCGUGAUACAGGGUAUGCCAGAUCCGCCAUAAAUACAGGAAUUCUACUGUUCAUACGGACAGAGUCUUCCCUGUAUUUGCACGGCAUCGCACAAGUACAAGAUGUAAAACAGGAUACAACCACAACAAAAUGAAUAUACAAGUCAUCAUACAUUCAAUAUCCAUACACCAUUCACCACAGGUUCAUAAACAGAGAUCUGAAUAUAAAUCCACAACUAUCAGUUAAAACGUUUCCUACCCGGAAACUUAUUUUGAAAUACUAAGUCAAGAAAACCACGAGAAAACUCUUUUGAAAGCUGUUUCCCACACGGAAACCUUUUUUUUUGAAAACACGCUACCAUGAUGGGUAGAAAACUAUUUUUCAUUUCACAAAAUCCACAAAUCCAUUUAUUGCAUUCAUGAAAACCUACAUUUUCAAAUGUAAUAAAAAUACUGAACCAUAUAAACUAUCUAAACUAUAUCAACAGAAUAGUAAGGAUGGAAAUUAAACCGAAUAACCUGGGUCGGAAGCUCUAUCGGCCGCUACGUACGUAUCUCACGUUUCGUCUCAACCCUCACCGUCCGCGAUACCUGAAAAAUGGUGGGGGAGAUGAGAACAUGUAAACAUGUCUCCCCUCCCAGUGGGUACCGCAAGCCGAUGAAGGCGAGAAGUACUCACCGGAUCAGGAAGAGAUAAACAAAGUAAUGAGUAGAUAUACUGAAUACAGUAGCAAUAAACUGAAAGGAAGUAGAACUAUAACAGAAUAACGACUACCGCUACUGUAACUAGAACAAAAGGCAUAUAUGGAUAUAUACUAUAGUAGCAAGACAACUAUAAGGCUGUAAGUAUGCAUGCAACGACUGCUACUAUAGACAUAAGCGUCAACCGGAUGUAUAGACCAAAUAUACCCAAUCUAGAAUCUGCUGCUCUGUUGGUCCGCACCGCAAACCUCAAGCCUGUGCCCUGGAGGUCCGCACCGCAAACCUCCUGACAGUACCACUGCCACUCAACCAUGCAUAUAACCCCUCUAGGGCUCACGGGUUGACACCUGCAACCACUUUUCCGAAAAAGAACACCCCUUGCGGUGGAUCGGACCGCCAGUGUUCGUGAAAUGCGACGAGUAUCGGGCGAUCAAUGCAAUAUUCUCAAUGAUCAACCGUCGGCAACUAGCCGACAAUCCUGCCCACAGGGCUCACCGACCGUAUAGGUCAUCAACUGUAAGGAAGAACAAGAACUGACCACUCAGGUCAACUAGGAUGGAACAACUCAACAUCCUCUCAGAAGUAUGCAAAUACUGCUCAAGGGUCAACAAAAGUGUAAAUGCAAGAACCGACAAAUGGGUCACAGAUACGACAUACAUGAACCGACCAACCAGGUCACUGAUACGAAGUACGAGAAUCGACCAACAAGGUCACUAAUACGAGUGUCGGACUAAGUCAGAGUCGUUUUUGCACGAAAUGGAUGCAGAAAUAGACUUCGCGGACCCAAAUAAGCAAAACUAGAGUUUUGCCAGUUUCGGGUAGCCAGAACAUGGUUUGGGUCGCCCAGAUCUUGAGUGUUGAACUAAACUGAACUGGAAGCCAAUUUGGAUCCUGUGUUCCGGGUGCCCAGAUGUGGGUCUGGAUGUUCACUUUGGGAAUAUCGACUGUGCUGACACGUGUCUGGUAGUAGGUGAGGUCCGCCGGACUAGAUUUUGGGCGCAUCGUACCGCAGGCGGAGGAAUCGAAAAGGGAACUUUGUAUGGCCCGAAAGUACUCGUUCUUACAGGAUAGCAAGUUUGUUUUCCUUUGUUCCUGGGGCUUAUCAGACCUACUCUAUUCCUUAUAAAAGGCUUGUGUUUGACCCCUAAGAAGCUUUUUCACCUCUCCUUCACAGUGAAGCCAUAUUUUGCACUCUAGUCUCUCAAAAUACUUCAAUUUACCCAAAUUCCACAAUUUCCAUCUUGAGGAUUGCAAUUCCUGCAGAAUUUCAGCAGCGACCUUCGGCGUUUUGGCUCGUGUGCGACAUANCUUCAAUUUACCCAAAUUCCACAAUUUCCAUCUUGAGGAUUGCAAUUCCUGCAGAAUUUCAGCAGCGACCUUCGGCGUUUUGGCUCGUGUGCGACAUAGGAAGAUCGGUUUGCUGCGAAACUUGAUUUAACGGUUAGUAGACUUCUUGGAGAUUUCAUGGAGCCCAUUUUGAUAGGAAUUGAUUGAGGUUAGUAUGGUCAAUUUGCUAUUUUUCUGAACUACUGCUAUAUUGGAGCUGAAACUUGGGUUUUUCUUAGUUUUCUUGGUUCAAUCUUUGGAGGAAGCAAGAUUUUCAACCAAAGGUCAUUGCUCCACCUUUCCCUACUGGUUUUGAGAGUGUUCUUCACCUGAAUUGUGGAUUUAAAGUUUGAAAGAUGAAUUUUGACAUUGGAAUUGAAGGAAUUAAGCUUUAGUACUGAAAUUUGAGGGUAUUGAUGCAAUUUUGGUGUUCUUGUGGUAGAUCUUUUGAGAGGAGUGUGCUAGUUCAUGGCUGAGCUUGGUAGGGCUUAUUCCAGCGACUUCCUAACCUUGCUGGACUCGCGCUUGAGGUGGGUUAACGUUAUGCUUACCGGACUCUGCGGAUUUUCUUCUAAGUCUAGUGUUGUCAGCAUGUAUUGUUAGUUUUGUAGAUUUGUUAAUUAGCUCAAAUUCGUUGAUUUGCAUGCUUUGAAAUCUGAAUUUGGAGCUUAAAAUGUUAGCUAACUUAUACAUGUUGGACUUGGAAUUGACUUAGGAGAAAACUAUCGAUUCUACACCGUCAUUUUCUGAAAAUGCCGGAUUUAGCUCUAGGAGCCGUAGUUUGUUUGUAUCGCCGCAGUUGGUGGGCAGUGGAUACUCAGAAUAGUGUAGAAUGUAUUUGCGCUCGUGCUUGGAUGCCGAGCUUAUUUUUACAGUAGUCUAUAGACUAUUCCGGACUGUUGGGUGCCGUUGUGGUUGACGGUGGACCCGGUUUACUAUUUUUGCAUCAAAUUGUACCGAGGGCAUAUUUAGUAUGGUUGUUCAACCUGUUAGACUCUUCUGCUUUGAUUACAGCCUGUGAGAGCCUGAUUGAGCUCGGCAGAGAUACGCUUGUAUACUCGGUUGGGUAGCGCCCACGAGUGCCACUCCGGAGUCGGGCUUAGUGCUUUUGCGUUGAUGUCGGUUUGUCCUGUUUGGACUUGCUCUCCACUGACGACCUAGUGUGGUGGCAGUUAGUGUAGCUUCGACAGGCGGGACGAGUGUGUUCACAAUCCUUAGUGACAUUGGGUCAGGAUUUUAUAUUUUCUACAGUUUGUUAGUGUUGGAUCAUCAUAGUAUAGCGGCAUAUAACUGUAGUUUGUUCCAGCUUUCCUUACUAUCCCUACUUACUUCUGUAGAUUUAGUGGGUGAGCCGUUGAGGUCGGUAAUGGUACCCACUGAGGACUACUUCUUUUUGCAGUAGUUUUCACACUCAGUUGUGGAUCCUUUUUGCAGAGCCCUCUUCUUCGGCUGCUGCUGUCGUGGAGACUAAUCGUGGAAAGGGAGUCGCAAGCUAGAUCCCUUCCCAGUCGCUGCUGACCUAGAGAUUUAUACCAGCUACAGGUAGUUGUAGUUUUUGAUUCUUAUAUAUACUGAUGUUAGUGCCUUGCUGGAGCGAGUGACUUUUAUAUCAGGAUACUAUGUAUGUAUGUUGAACCGAGGUUAUUUAUAUAUGUUUCUUUCAGCAGCUCUAUACUAGUGGUUGUAGUGUUGUAUGAUUACAGGUACAGAUACAGCUAUCGCUUCGUGUACCAAAAAAAUUUCUUUGCAUACGGCGGAUUUGUCGGCAUGCUCGGGGAAACGAGUAAUUCGGAGCGUGACAGGUUUUGAUUUUUGAAUAUUAGGGUUUCGGUUUGGAAAAUAUGAAGGUUUUGAUUUUUGAAUAUUAGGGUUUGGGUUAUAAAGAUAUAUGUAUUUUGGUUUAGAUUAUAAAAGUGUAAGUAUUUUUUUGGCCUUUAGAUUCGGAUCUAAUGGUUUAAUUUUUAUAUAUAUAUAUUAUAUCAUAUUCAAUUUGUUCGGGUUCAGGUCGGGUUCAGGUUCGGGUCGGGUUCGGAUUUUUUAAAAAUAUCCAUAUCCGAGUCCUAAUCCGUCGGAUUUUUUUUUUUAAUAUCCCUACCCGAAUCCAUAUCCAUUUACAUCGGAUAAAAUCCGCUCCGUCCGGAUUUGGAUUCGGAUAAAAUUCAGAUAUUCAUAUCCAUUUACAUCCCUAUAUCCCAUCUAUCUAAAUUAAAUAGAAUACUAAUCAAACUUUGAUUGGAAGUCAAUCUGGACUCUAUGUAAAAGGGUAUUAGUCCUGCCACCUUCUCAUACGCAUUCUGGUGAAGAAUUACCAUCGGUUCCACACUAUAUGGUAAAGUACGUCUGAGAUAGGAGGAGAAACCAAAUUACCCAAGUUCGGUUCGUGACUUCCAGAUCAUAGCGGAACUUCUCGCUUCUGCAGAUUGAUCAGAAAUUUCUUCUCUAUGACGCUCUAUGAGUUAUUUUAUUUUAUUUGAUCUUAGAUUUUGAUAUGUAUUCAAUUUUCUUCUUAUUUUACAUAUCUAGAAAGAUCUAUUAAAAAUUGCAUCAAGACCCCUUCGUUAUAUUCUGUUUGAAAGUAGAGUCCUCAACUUUUUUUAUUUUUUUAUUGAGACCUUCCUAUUUUAAACUUUCUUUUUACUUAACUUUUUAUACGAAGAGGAUAUUUGAUUAGGCGUAAAACUAUAAAAAAAAAUAGUUGUCCACGAAAAGAGUUUUUGAUAGAAAAUUUUUUUUUACGCCUUUUGAUAUCUAGUUUGUUGUAAAAGAAAACUAGAUUACAUUCCACAUGCUUUUGGUUCGUAGAAAACAAAAAAGUAAAUUUUUUUCUCUUUUAUUAUUUAAUUAAAUAAAAAUAUUUUUAAUUUUUAUUUAAAUUUAUAUUACUUAAAAACUUAAAUAUAUAUUACUUUUAUGUUUUAUACUAAUGCUUUAUGCAUAUGUUAAGAGUAAUUCAUUGUACUAAAUUGCACACGGUCCAUGAGGUCACGCAUGCACUCCUCAUGCGGUCCAUGAGGCCUUGCGGUCACUUGUGGACCGCGCGGGCGCUCCAAGCUCAUGAGCCACAUUUGUUUCCUCUUUCGUUUUCAUUUUUUGACCUUUUAAAGCAGAAAAUGAAAAGUUGAUAUUUCCGUGAAAUUUGUAAAACUUUUUUUUUUUUUUACAGGAAAAGCAUUUUUCGAGUGUCCAAAUGCUUGAAAAUUUAUUUUUUAUGCCCGAAAAUAUUUUUCGUCUUGCUUUUACAACGAAACAAACAUCCCCUUAGCAACCCUAAAACUUUUAUCAACCAUAAUGAAUUUAUGAGUUUUAAAUUGUUACUUGGUUAAAUUUAUUUACUAAAAAAAGUAAUUAAAGUUGUUAAAUUUGGUGAAAUCAAUGAAAUCUCUAAUUUCUUCUCAUAAAAUUACCUAAUUUUGAAAAAUUAGCAGUUGAGAGGUCUUAAAUGAAAAAAUAAAUUGGAGUCGUUUAAUUAAUUCAACAUGGCAUGGGUUGUGUACAUUUUUAUCACAGUUAAAUGAGAAAAGCUAAGGUCUACAAUCCUUAUGGAUUGCAAAUCUAUACAUCUCUCCGUCCUCGUAUUUGUUCAACAUUUUUUCAGUUUGAGUAUUAAAAAGUUUGAUAAGACUAGUGUGAUAUUUCUAGUCUUUGGAUAACGGAGAUUACAACCAAAAAUUGAUUGUAGCAUGUAGUCGUAGCAUUGCUCUAGUUAAAUUAAGGAAUAAAUUUACAAGCAACCGUAUACUUUGGAGCUUUGGCAAAUAGGUGCCGAAUUUAUACUUUUUCACAAUUUGACCUUCUAAAUUUUAUGCGAUAGUUCAACGAGUCCUUUUUCUCUUUUUAUGUCACGCCUCGCCCCGAAUCCACUACUAAUUUGGCACGGUUCGGGCGCGCCGGACGGACCGCCGAACGGAUAGCACCUCUCCUAUCCGUCCAAGGCCAAGCAACAAGAUCAUGUACAGUUAAGCGCCCAGGGAAUGCCUAAAUAACAUACAUGAUCGAUACGAUACACACAAGUGCACUAUAACUAAGAGCAAGAACCACAAGUGAAUGUACAAGUGUAUAAAGAGAGAUAGUCUAAUUAUUACAACCAUUCAGCAUUUACAUCAUUUGAAUAUAUUACAUUUCCAUCUUUCAAAAUGUAAAUACAUGUUUUCCUCAAAAUACAAGUAGGUCUCCAAUAACUAUCCAAAAUAUCAUCUAGUACACGAGGGUACUCUAAUGCAUAAAGGAAAAGCUACUAACUAGGCUCACUUAGGGCACUAUGCUCUUGCCGCGGUCCUCGCUCGGCUCGUCUCUGUGUGUACCUGUACCCCAAAACCACACGGGGUGAGAACUAUAUAAAUAUAGUUCCCAGUGGGUUCGGCCGCCUACGCCGCCGGUUUUCCCACUAGGUCUAAGCUGACACAAAUAGAGAGAUAGAUAGAUAUAUAGAAAAUGAACUGCAACUAUUUUAUCAUACCAUCAAUGAUAAUAAUGCAUGCAACAACUACUAUCAUGCUAGUAUCAUGUCAUAAGUAUAUAAAGGUACAUAGCAAUGUAAUCUACAACAUACACUAUGUCUACUCAAGGUAAUAAUGUAAGUCUACUAUGCAUUUCAUAUUUAUUACCCAAUCUACUUAGUUAACUCGAAGGUUAAACCCUCGACUCACUCUCAAUCUCAUAGGUGAGGAGAAGCUACACUCGCACACCGAGACCGUCUGCGGGACAAGCCUGUGAGAUACUCCAGAGACUCGUGCCUCGGUAGAGCGACCACCGACAAGCAAAACAGACUAGUGAGUAUGAUCCAAUCCUCACAAGAGGAUACCCUAUCUAUAAGGGUCAAUGUGCCUCUGCUGCACAAUAUACAAUGCAUCCUAGAUGCCGGGACCUCUACUAUCCCAAGAAUCAUGUCAUAUUUACUACACUAGACUCGAUGCCACUCGUUCAGUCGUUGUAGUAAUAUCUUCUAACUAGUCGACAUGCCACUCGUUCAAGUUUAGUGUUUCUAUUACACUAGUCAAUGCCACUCUACUAGGCUAUGUCCAAGUUCAUCACUUUUGCCACUAUAGGAUUCUUUGUCUCAAGACCCAAUCCUCAUGCCUUCCUAGUCCAAGUGUCAAGCCCAUACCGCUACACUACUAAGUAAGCAUGCAAGGAAUGGAAAUAUGCUUCUACUAAUCCUAUAAUGCACAAUCGACAUAUGAUGAAUAAAAUUAACUUAGACAUAAAAGAAAAUCCGGAUGCUUCGGGAUGACACCCCCCACCUUUUGUGUAUACGGAGGCUCUAGAAAUGCGCUUCGGCGUUCUUUAGGACGAAGCCUCGAUCUCCUUGGUCCAAAUGAUGCUCAAUCAGUCUUAUUUUGCCGAUAGCUCUUGACCCGCUCGACGAAUCGAAAUUCUGACUUCGCCCCCGCGUUUCGUUACCUAGCAAUUAGGUUUACAAGGCCUCAAAUGAGAUCAAUCUCAUACUUUACUGAAAACCCCAUUUUUGGAGCCCUAGGGUUCCCAUCAUGCCAUUUGCAUUUUGGAACCCUAACUCUAGCUUCAAUCCACCAACAAUUGUGCUAGGGCUCCAUUUGACCCCAUUUCCAAAGCUCAAAACCCAAAAACCCUAAGUUUCACAAGCUAGGGUUUGGGUAGCUUACCUCUUAGCUACACCAAGGGGAAGAGGAGAGGGAGGGGAAGAUGUCCAAGGUCUUUCUCUUGAUCUCCUUCUUCUUCUCCUUCCUUUCCUUCUCUUCCUUUCCUUCUUUUCCUUCUUGUUCUUCUUCUCUUUUCCUUCUAGAGAGAGAGAGGGAGCAAGAGAGUGUGAGAGAGGGGGAGAAAUGAGAGGCUGAGGGAGAGAGGGGGUCCCCUAUACUCUCUAAUGUAACAAUAUCCUAAUAAGUCCCUCCACUUUUCAUCCUGUGCACUGCCCGUCACUAGGCAUUUUUCGCCCAGAGGGACCGGUCUCCCCGACUUGGGACCGGUUUCCGAGAGCUUCAGCUCGGGUCACGCGUUCGGGUACCGGUUUCUCCCAGAGAGACCGGUCCUUGGGAGACUGGUUCCUUCCUAAGAGACCGGUUCCCGAGAGCUAGGAUUUCGGGACUUAGCCAAUUUUUGGCUUUUCUCGUUGGGUUCGCGUUCGGGGACCGGUCUCUCCCUGCCAGGGACAGGUUGCCUCAAGAAUCCCCGCACCCUAGCCAAUGGGACCGGUCCCUCCCUGCCAGGGACCGAUCCCCGAGAGCAAUUUUGCUCCAGUGCAGGCUUUGCACUAUUUGCUCUCGUGGACUCGUUUCCAAUGCACUCUUGGUGAUAUCAACAUCUUUGGCUUUUCCAAAGCUCACCAACACGACCCUUGGUCGAUUUUGCAUAAAGUCUAACUCUCGCAUUUCGAGAAUUCACUUCCUCAUAUUUUAAGUAACUUAUUUCUCUUUCUAAGUAAAUGCUCACUCAACACAAAUGUUUUGCACACGAUACUGAAACUGUUGAUGCCAAAAUUGAAAUUAACAUGCCGACCUAAUCCACGUAUGAGCCAAUAAGGACACGUGGUACACCAGGAGUCGGCAAUAAGGCGCCUGAAGAUUUUAGGUGGGAACGGUUGAGAAGUGGGCAUAACUUCCACGAUGGAGCGUAACUUCCAUAAGGAGUGGGCGUAACUUCCACGAUCAUGGUUACAAUCACUCCCCCCAUUACUUUCAACCGACCAAUAAUGUGGGCUGAGAAGACAUCACUAUAAAUAGUAACUUCAAAGCCUGUAAUAAAGGUCUUUCUCCAUCCUGAACGAGAAGACCACCUUUAUUUCCUCUGCAUUUUAUCGCUUUUCUAGGAGUAGUCUAAAUGUAAUCUUUUUCUUUUCCGCAUUUACUGCUUUCCUAGUAAUAGUUCGCUAAGUAGAACCCUGGAGUCUGUCUGUCCCACGGGCAUCACUCCGUUGUAGACUACAUUUGCAGAGUCUGUCUGCCCCACGGGCAUCACUCUGUUGUAAAUUAUAUUUGCAGAGUCUGUAUGCCUUUCGGUCACACUCUGUUUUAUUAAUAUAUAUAUAUAUAUAUAUAUUUAGGCAUUCGGAUCUUUCAGCCGACCAGUCAUUGUGUAUUUCAUUUAUUCGGCUCUUUCAGCCGACCAGUUACUGUGUACUUCUUCCAUUCAGCACUUUUGCCGACAUUGAUCCCUGCACAGUUCGUACAUUCGGCUCCUCCAGCCGAACCGAUUCUACAGUAAAGGUUUUCGAACUCGGCUGAUCCGAUCCCUCGUCAGCCGAAUCGCUUGAUCUGUCGAAGGGCGCACACUUCGAGGGUCAUCGUUCGUAGCCGUUCCUCACCGCGACGCGCUUUCCGAGGAGGAUCUUUGACCGAGUCAAGGGUCGGAAAAUUCGGCAUUCCAACAAUUUUUGGCACGCCUGGUGGGACUUGAUUUUAGCUAAAUUCACAUUUUUAUUAAAAUUAUGGCUGAUGAUAAUGCCAUGAAUUUGCGCAAUAGGGUUGUUCCUAGAAAUUCUGGGAGUGAUCAACCUAGUGAUUCAGACAAUGCUGGCGAAUGUCAAGCAGUUUUGCCAGUUGAAAGAAAAACUAGUAGACAGUCGGCUUAUCAAGAGCCGAGUCUAACUCAGGCACUCGGCCAGAUGAGCCGAGUCCUGCAAACUUUAGAUCAAACUAUCCAUCAAAGUACCGCUCGACUAGACGCGGUGCUGGCCGCUAUCACGGCCUAUAAUGAAAAUAUUGUUCGAAUUAGACAAUUAUUUAGCCGAAACGAGCAACCUUAUGGGAGGCAACAAAGGCUCCUAAAUGUGCCGGUGCAACAAAAUCCUGUCACGCCGGCGGUCUCACGGGUGCAACCUUAAAUGUCACCUUUCCAGACUGCUUAUAGGCCGGCGAAUAUCAACACCGGCCCGCAGUCGGAGAUUGCAUCAGGUUUACCUCCUUUACCAAUUUAUCAGUCUCCAAAUGUGGGGAUUAGAGCUGAGGUGUAGGCUCUGAAUAUGCAAGGAGUUAACCCUGUUAUACCGAAUUUCGGUCUACCGCAAGGAUCGAAUGUAGUACAAGCACAGAUUCUUUUGUAGGGAAACAAUAAUGAAAUAUACGCACAAAUUGAAGAAAUCAUCCGAAAUACUUUCGGAAUUGGCGCAAGGUCGGCAGUGCGGCCUGUAUUUCGUUCCUCUUAUCCCGCGAGUAUAGAUGCUGAGCAUCCAUACCCGGCAAAUUGAAAAAUGCCGAAGUUUGAUAAAUUUUCUUGGGAUGAGACCGAAAACACGGUCAAACAUGUGGCACGGUUCACGGCACAGUGUAGGGAAGCCGCGACAGAUCCAUUUUUAAAAUUAAGAUUGUUUAACACGUCGUUAACUAAAACGGCGUUUACUUGGUAUGCAAGUUUAUCAGCCAAUUCCGUCCAAGAUUGGAACGAAUUAGAAAGAAAAUUUCAUGAGCGAUUCUAUAGGCCGGAGCCACAAUUAUCGGUCGCCGACUUGGCUUUAUACCGACAAAUGUCAGGUGGAACGGUCGAAGAGUAUUUGAACCGUUUCAAAAUAGCUAAAAUCCUGUGCUUUAUGAGAAUGCCGGAAUCAGAGUUCGCCAAAAUAGCGUUAAAUGGUCUGCAUUUUAAGAUAAAAGACUAUUUUGAAGAUAAGUAUUUUUCUAACCUAUUUGAUCUAGGUGUUCGAGUUGCCCAAUAUGAGCAAUUUCGGAAGAAAAGUGAGGACAAUCGGCUGCAAUGGAGCCGAUAUAAAAUGCAAAGCAAAGGCAAAGAGAAAUCCUUGAUAGAAGAACAGUCGGUUCAAGAAGAGCCGAGCCAAUCGAGUGAAAGUGAAGAAUCGGCUGAUGAAGCCGAGGUAUAUGCGGCUGGUAAAGAGCCAUUUUCUUCAAGGAGAAAUCCUUGAUAGAAGAACAUUCGGUUCAAGAAGAGCCGAACUAAUCAAGUAAAAGUAAAUAAUCGGCUGAUGAAGCCGAGGUAUAUACGGCUGGGACGAUAAAGAGCCGUUUUCUUUAAGCCGACCAAGACCAGCGAAACAAAAGCUUGAGUCUCGGUUGUGUCAUUUGAGCAGUCGAUUUGGCACCAAUAGUCAUCCGAAUGUUCAUUCGAAAGACUAUUAGGGGGGCAUUGUUGAUGCCAAAAUUGAAAUUAACAUGCCGACCUAAUCCACGUAUGAGCCAAUAAAGACAAGUGGUACACCAGGAGUCGGCAAUAAGGCGCCUGAAGGUUUUAGAGAGGAACGGUUGAGAAGUGGGCAUAAUUUCCAAGAUGGAUCGUAACUUCCAUGAGGAGUGGGCGUAACUUCCACGAUCAUGGUUACAAUCACUCCCCCCACUACUUUCAACUGACCAAUAAUGUGGGCUGAGAAGACAUCACUAUAAAUGAUAACUUCAAAGCCUGUAAUAAAGGUCUUUCUCCAUCCUGAACGAGAAAACCACCCUUACUUCCUCUGCAUUUUAUCGCUUUCCUAGGAGUAGUCUAAAUGUAAUCUUUUUCUUUUCCGCAUUUACUGCUUUCCUAGUAAUAGUUCGCUAAGUAGAACCCUAGAGUCUGUCUGCCCCACGGGCAUCACUCCGUUGUAGACUACAUUUGCAAAGUCUAUCUGGCCCACGGGCAUCACUCUGUUGUAAACUUCAUUUGCAGAGUCUGUCUGCCCCACGGGCAUCACUCUGUUGUAAACUAUAUUUGCAGAGUCUGUAUGCCUUUCGGGCACACUCUGUUUUAUUAAUAUAUAUAUAUUUAGGCAUUCGGCUCUUUCAGCCGAUCAGUCAUUGUGUAUUUUAUUUAUUCAGCUCUUUCAGCCGACCAGUUACUGUGUACUUCUUCCAUUCGGCGCUUCUGCCGACAUUGAUCCCUGCACAGUUCGUACAUUCGGCUCCUCCAGCCGAACCGAUUCUACAGUAAAGAUUUUCGAACUCGGCUGAUCCGAUCCUUCGUAAGCCGAAUCGCUUGAUCUGUCGAAGGGCGCACACUUCGAGAGUCAUCGUUCGCAGCCGUUCCUCACCCCGACGCGCUUCCCGAGGAGGAUCUUUGAUCGGAUCAAGGGUCGGAAAAUUCGGCUACUAACAGAAGCUUUAAAAUACAUUAAAAUCUGUCCGAAAGCAAUAAAAAUUGAUUUUAUCCUUUGCUUAAUUUUCUUAGUGAAAAAAACUAUAGGUUUUUUUUGGUCUUUUAAAGAGUUAAUAAUAGAUCAUCUCUAAGCCAUGCCAUCAAUACGGUUAUUUAAUUAAUAAUUUGGCUUGUGGACAAGAACUAAUUGAAUUGUUUGAUAAAGUUUAGGCGAUUUUAUUGACAAGAUUAAAAGUUUAGAACGUAGUCGGCCGUAGACUAAAAUUUAAGGGGUGUCAAUAUUUGAAAAGUUCAGACAACAAAUGUAAAAUUUUUAUUAUUUUUUUAGUGUUCGGAGAUAACUACCCAACCUUUAAAAAAAUUCUUAUUCUCCAUGUAAACUUUCUGGCAGUAUAUUGCUGUUAGUUAUUUUAAGUUAUUAUAUUUGAUCAGUUUAAAUGGCCUUGUAUUAGCCAAAUCAUGAAAAGGAAAAAUAAUAAAUAAAUAAUACAUGGCAGUAAAAUAAAUAAAUCUUCUUAAUGAAAAAAAUUAUUGCUGUGUAUGAAAUUGACCAUAAUUUUUAUUUUUAUUUAAAAACAUUAAAUACCGACAAAAAAUUUUAUUUUAAAACUAAAUUUUGAUGUCCAAAAUAUCAUUGGCUAUUUACUAGCUAGUCACUCUAAUAAAUUGAUAAAAAUAAAACUCGACACAGAAGACAAAAACUAAACUGCAAAUUUAGUAUAGCAUAAGGGUUCUUUUGAAGUUUGCUCUACUCAAUUCAUUAAUAAUAAUAAAAAGAAAAAAGCUCUUAAUUAAUACGUGUUAAUUUAUUACAAUUUAUUUAUUUAAAUAUUUUUUUAUAGUCAUUCUCUGAAUACAUUUCUCCCCCAAUCCACAGUUCCACACACUCUCUCUUUCUCUCCAAUCUCGGAUCACCAUUCGAGCACCACCUUUUCUCUCCCUUUUCUUUUAUUAAUUAAUGUGAUAAUAUUUAAUCUAUUAUUAUUAUUAUUAUUAUUAUUAUUAAUUUAUUAUAUGUUUUUUUACUUUAAUAAAUUAAUUCGAAGAGUCCCCUUCGCUUCUUCCUCUUCCUCUCUUCCGUGCUCAGCCCCUCCGUCGCGCCGCUCGAUGAGCGCCACGUGGCUCGCCGGAGCGUAGAUGAGUCCCCGUCCGCCGUCCGAUCUAUGGACCACCGCGUGGCCCCUCCUCCCUCCUCCUCCGGCGGCGGCGGCGGCGGCGGCGGCUCCUCCGGCGGCGCCCUCCGCCGGCGACUCCUUCGGCGACAAUCUUAGGGGCUUCCUCCUCGCCGUCGCCUCGAGCGCCUUCAUCGGCGCCAGCUUCAUCGUCAAGAAGAAGGGCCUCAAGCGCGCCGGCGCUGCCGGAUCCCGCGCCGGUAACCCUAAACCUCGCCGGAACCCUAAUUCCCCUCCCCUCCCCUCCCGCAUUUGCCCUAGCACGUGAAUCGUGCUUUCCCCUUCUUUUUGCCCGGUAUUUUCAUUCUGGUUGUUGUUUUCGUGAAGGUAUUGGAGGAUACGGGUAUCUUCUAGAGCCGCUGUGGUGGGUUGGAAUGGUCACGAGUGAGUGCCUCUCUCUCCCUCUCUUCUUAUUCGCGAUUUUUAUGUUCUUAUUCGACCACGAUUCGAGAGGAAUUUGCUGAGAAAAUCGGGUGAAAAUUGGAUCUUUGCAGUGAUUAUUGGAGAAAUUGCUAACUUUGUGGCAUACAUCUUCGCUCCCGCGGUUCUCGUGACGCCGCUCGGUGCUUUGAGCAUCAUUGUGAGGUAAAGAUUGUGCAAACGAGAGGAAGGAAUUAUCAAAUUACCCUUUUCGAUUCGAAUAAAUUGUAUGAUUCUGGGGGAGAAUUUGCUGUGGCAGUGCUGUUCUGGCGCAUUUUAUUCUGAAGGAGAAGCUGCAGAGGAUGGGGGUGUUGGGCUGUGUCCUCUGCAUCGUCGGAUCGACGGUGAUCGUGCUUCACGCUCCCGAGGAGAAGAGCCCGAGCUCCGUGGAACAGAUUUGGGAUUUGGCUACACAGCCUGGUAUCGAUUUUCGUCCUUCACUCUUGUGUUUACAGAAAAAGUAUCAACUGCUGUUACGCUUUCAGUGAAGAGUAAUGAAAUUGAAAAUAAGGAAGCGUUAGGUUCAGAAAUCGAACUUUUAGAACCCGCGUCUAUGCAAUUGAAAUUGAAUGAGCCCGUGGAUGGUGCAUUGUUCGCUAUACGUAGAACCUGUGGGUUUUCCCUUUCGCAACACACAAAAGAAAACAUAAUGUUGUAGUAGCCUUCUUCUGCUCUUUGUUUUUUGGACACUAUUUGGUAUUUAGCCCGGCGGAAACGCAAGCUAACGAAUAAAACAACAACUUGAUUUAGAAACAAAAGAAGGUAGCCAUUCCGAAAUGUGUGUUUUCUUUAUUUUUUAGGUAGUGUCGGUAUAUCUUUCCUUUUAUCUUACCCUGUCUUUGAGAUGUUUGAUAUAUUCCCUUCAGCCUUUCUUCUGUACGCGGCUUCGGCGGUGGCUAUAUCCCUAGUUCUAAUGCUGCACUGUUCUCCGCGAUAUGGACAAACAAACGUGAUGGUGUACGUGGGCAUAUGUUCUGUCAUUGGAUCUUUGACGGUGAUUAUUCGGCUUGUAAUAAAGUUUGAUCUUUACAUUCGCUUCUCAUGGGAUUUUUCACGUUUCAAUUUUUCUUUUCUUUUUUUUUUCGGGUUUGUAAUGUUUGUUAGGUUAUGAGCAUUAAAGCCAUUGGGAUUGCGAUAAAGCUCACUAUAGAGGGAAUUGACCAGGCGGGUUAUUACCAGACAUGGGUCUUUGCUAUGGUUGCCAUCUCUUGCAUCAUAAUCCAGCUAAAUUAUCUGAACAAGGUGAGCAAAAAGAACCAAUUUCUGGGAGACUGAAUUUUACAGGAGGUUGCUUCUGAAUUGAUCAGUUUAUUAGCUUUCUUCUGGGAUUUCACAGCUUUAUGUUCUCCAAUAUCGCCUGUAGAUGAACAGUUCCCCGUCGCAAUGCUUUGGAAAACUCCGAGGUUUUCCUCACUAGUUUAAGAGAGAACCAAUAGUUUGCUUUGAUCUCCUUGUCUCAUAGGAAACAACUUAUCAAUCUCUUUUGUAGCCAAGCUAGAUCAUUUUUAUUUUGUCUAUCAAUUUACCUUCUUUUUUUCAUUACUUCGGUGAUCCUGAACAACUUUAUCGUAUCAUUUUAUAGCCUUGCGCAUUGUCAUUAUCUCGCAACUACUGAGGCCCUGUUUAGCACAACUUGUGUUCUUUGAAUUAGUUUGCAGCUAGCUAAUACUUCCUAGAUGAAAUCAUCAAUUUCAAUGUUAACUUUUCAGGCAUUAGACACUUUCAACACUGCAGUAGUUUCUCCUAUAUACUACGCCUUGUUCACUACCCUAACAAUUCUUGCAAGUGCCAUUAUGUUCAAGGUAUGCAUGUUAUACACCGCACAAAAGUGCUCAUGCGUUUGGUACGUGUCUUUGUUUCCAACAAGGAUUAGCUUCACCUCUGGCAAUUAUUCAGGACUGGUCUGGACAAAGUGCGAGCAGUAUUGCAUCGGAGCUCUGCGGGUUUGUUACAGUGCUUUCUGGUACCGCAAUACUACAUUCCACGAGAGAACCCGACCCGGCUUCCUCAACAGGUAAAUGUUUUUACACUACUAUUAUUGAUUGGACUUGCCUGCGACUAGUUAAAAUGCAGAUAAAAGCGUAAUAGUUAACGAGCUUCUUUUGCACUAAACCAAUUCGUGGGCCGAACUGCUACGGAAUGAAAGCCGAUGGGUUCUUUUGCAUGUAGGGAACUUGUUUUACCCAUGUCCUAAUACAACACUUUCUCUCGAAAUAUGCAGAUUUGUAUACACCACUCUCGCCCAAAAUAUAUUGGCAUAUACAAGGGAACGGCGAAUUCGUGAAGCAUAAGAACGACGACUUGUUAUCUGGGGACUUCAUCGCCAUGGUGCGGCAAGAUUACUUCGUUUAGCAGAAAUUCUUCAGAAAUACAUAGUGGCUUUUAGUUGCUUUAUUAUGUGUUAUUUGUCUCUGUAUCUUCUUAUUGUCAUCCUUGCAUUUGCAUAUAAUGUAGCUUUUUGCUUUUCUUUUUCUUUUUUUUUUUUGUUUCCCCCUUUUGGUCCCUUGGUUAUAUUUUACUUAGGGUGUAAUCUUUUUCCUAUUUUUGGUUUCUCAUUUGAUUGCCAAGUUUAUUUUUGCAUCAGUUGUUCUGUUCUUUUUAGACUUUGCGGGAGAAAUAGUCUAGUCUUUGUGAUUUGAGUAUGUAAAAUUUGAUGUAUUUUGUACAGUCUCUCCUCUUGAGUUUGUGAAAUGGAAAUCUCUAUUUUGUUUUUGAUCAACUAAUUAGAUAGACAUAAUCUACUAACAACUGGAUCCUAAUAAAAAGAUGCUAAUUUGCAUUUAUAUAUACCAUUGCACCACGAAUUAUUAAUGUUUGUUAGAAGGAAGGGAUAAAGAAAAAUGAGGCGGACUUUCUCCAGGUCGGGACGAAAAUGCUGCAAAAUUUAGCAUUUGCCACUAUUUGGAUUCUAAAUUUCUAAAUUUUGGAUUCAAAUUUAUGAUUAAGUUUUGUAACACUAGUUUCAGUGUCAGCGCAGUUGAUCCUAAAUUAACUUAGUGUAUAAUCAAACAAGAAGUAGUGGCAUAAAGAACCCACCAGAAAACGAGGAAAACUUAGGGGUGAAAAUAGUCGAACACGAUUGGAUAUUUGACAAAAUCAUAUCCGUUUCUAUAUUUAAUACACGGAUACAAACCCCAAGUACAAAACUAAAUUUGAUCGAAAUAAGUUCCAGUACAAUUCGGAGUCGGGACGAACGCGAAUACGAACCGAAUUUUCUAAGUUUGAGUAUACCUACAAUAAGAAAUGCUAGGCAUUAGUUAAAAAGAUGUACUUUAAAUUUUAAAGUAGUUUUGUUUAACAAGCACUAUACAAGAUUUGCUUCUAUUAUUGAUUCAAGUAGUUCUUUUAAAGAUCAAAACUCAAAUCGUCCUCGCCUCGCCUCUCUUUGCGUGAAGAAAAAGGUGAGUAGGAGCGAGAGUCAGUGACUGAAAAUUCAUCAAAUUAAAAAUUUAACUUAAACUCAAAAUUUAAAUUCUAAAAAUCCAAUCAAAUUCGAAAAUAUCAAAUUUAAAAGAAAAAAUUCUUACUUGAACUCAAUAUUUAAACUCUAAAAAAUUAAGCAAAUUCAAAAAUAUCAAAUUUAAACUUAAACUCAAAAUUCAUGAGUUUUUCGGAUCGAAUCAUUACAAUCUCUCUUAGGCCCUAUUUUGGAUGCAUAAAUAUCUUGUUUGGCCUAUUUUUUCUUUAUGUAUUUGACAAACUUGUAUAUUUGCUACAUGAGGAGGUGGUCAAAUGUUCAGAGUUGAAUAUAAUAGUUAAUUUUUAAGCCAAUUUUUUAAAAUAAAGUCACCUCAUUAGUAAAAUAUAUUACCUUACUAAAUCAUUAAUGCCAAGAUCUUUUAAAGGAACAAAAAAUUAAACUCCUAAUUUUCAACCACAUAAAAAAAUUUUAUACCCAAUAAAUUGUUAUUAAAUAUUUUCUUCUUAGAGUCAAAUCAGCCCUUUCAGAAGUAAAAAAAAUUAUACUACCAGCUUUCAGAAAUAGCAGAAAAUCUUUACAUGAAAUAAACCAUUACUGGAUAUCUUGUACAACAUCGAUCCAAGCAACGCUUCAAUUUUGUUGACAUACUAAUUUUGAUUCACACUCUUGAAACCACGAAGCAAAUAGAUCCGUAUUGGCGGAGCUCCUAUCAUGAUCUACUCUAGGUAGGCCAAUAAAUGAAAAAAAAUAAACAUAUCCGCGAUAAUAAAUUAGUCCAUUUUUAUGAUUUGAAAUGGAUUUGGAGCAAAAAAAAAAAAAAAAAAAAAAAGUAAGAAACUUGAUUUGCCCCGAAUUUGCUCCAAAUCCCUCCCCCCGAAGCCUUAUUCCAAAUCAGUUCCAAAUAAAUAUUUAAAUUAGAUAAUUAUUUUUUAAGAAUAUUAUUUUGAGUUUUAGAUAUUAUUUAUUCUUAACAUAAAUCUAAUGUAAAAGAUAGUUGUUUUAAUGGUAAUUUUGUUAUUUAAAUUUUCAUCUUAAUUAAAAUAAUAAAAAAUGACUUAUAUUUAAUUUAAAUUUAAGUACGAUAAAAAAAAAAAAGUUGGUGGGUUGGAUUUAAGGCCCCUUCACAUUGGCAGAGUAGGAGGCGGGGUGGAUCUCCUUGCCACAGUUUCGCUGCAAAUUAGUAUUUGAUUGUAGUAAGCGAAAUAAGAAAUAUAGUAGAGGGGUUAUAAAUAUAAAAUAAUAAUAUUGCCCUCUUUAUGAUAUUUGAAUUAAAAUUUUUAAAUUUUAUAUUUAAAAUUUUAAAUUUAAAUACAUAACUCUUAAAUUUCAAAAAUACAAAAUUAAAAUUUAAAUUUAAAAAUCUCAAAUUCAAAAAUUCAAAGUUCUAAAUUUUUAAUUUCAAAAUAUAAAUUUAAGAACAAAUCUAAAUUUAGACAUAUAAAAUUUUAAAUUAUAAUUUUAAGAUUACAAAUUAUAAACUUUUAAAAUUUAAAAUUUAAAAUUUAAAAUUAUAAAUUAUAAAUUUUAAUUUUAAGAUUACAAAUUUUAAAUUUUUAAAAUUUUAAAUUUAAAUUUUAAAUUUAAAAAUUAAAUAAGGGUGGAAAUAGCUAUUCCUUCUCACCCCUAUUCCAAGGGGAGGGGUGGGAAUAUUACUAUCCCACCCCUUACUUUAUUUGGUUCAGGGAUAAGUAAGAACUAACUAUUCUAGAUAUAGGUAUAAGUCUGAAAUAGCCCAAUUUUUGCGUUUGGAUUAAAAUUGAGUUAUCCCGAAAAUAAGAAAAAUAACGUUUGGAUAGAUAAGAUGCAAUAAGAAAUAUAGCGGGUAGUUAUAAAUAAAAAAUAAUGAUAUUUCCCCUUAUAUUUGAAUUUUAAAUUUUAAAUUUUAUNAAUUUUAAAUUUAAGAUUAAAUUUAAAUUUAAAAAUAUCAAAUAUCAAAAUUUAAAUUUAAAAAAUUAAAAAUAAUAAUUUAAAAUUUAAAAUUUAAAAUUUAGAAUUUAAAAUUAUAAAUAUUUAUUUUAAAAUUAGAAAUUAUUAAAUUUAAAUUAUAAAUUUAAAUUUAAAAAUUAAUUUUUUUCUGUAUAAAGACUCAUUCAGUUUUCAUUUAUUUAGCUUGAAAUAAUUUUAUUAAUUAAAUUAAAUAUUUUGUUCAGAACCAAGACACUUCACUAGCGACUAACUAUUAAAUCUAGAAUUAGAGUAUUUUCGUCAGCUGAAUGAAAAUUUUAGUAGUUCGUCAAAUUUAAUGAGUUUAAUUACUUUUAAUUAAAGACAUUAACAAUUUAAUAGUUAGUUGCUAUGGAGUGUCUUGAUUUCGAACAAAAUAUUUAAUUUAAUGCAUAAAAUUAAUUUAAACCAAAUAAAUAAAAACUGAAUGGGUCUUUAUACAAGAAAAAAAAAGGUUAAAGACCUUCUAGUUAAGUUUGUGGAAUAUAUAUUUUCUCACUUAACCUUUCAAGGGUGAGGGGCAAAACCGGUAAUUAUUUUUGAUCUAACGGAGUUUGCAGAUAAGGAUAAAUUUGAAACAAUAAAAAUAUUUAGAGAGGUAAUUAUGAUAUUACAAAUUUUGUGAGCAGGUAAUUUUGAAACAAUGUAAUUAUUUUUUAUCCUUUUGAAGGGUAUAUGUGAAAUUAACCUUUUUUUAUUUUUUUUUUAUCUCUCUCAUCUCACCCAUUUUCCAAUGACACCCUCUAUAUCUCUCUAUAUAGAUUUGACCUUCUAGUUAAGGGUGUAGGCCUGGCUGAGCAAGACCUAUAUAGAUUUGACCCUUGAAGCCAGGCCUAUAUAGAUUUGAUGCCUGACUUAGGGCCUAUCUACAACUCCAAGGCCUGUUUGUUUACACGGAAGUGGGGUAGAAGUGAGAAGGGAGAAGUAAUUUUCGGUAAAAACAUACCACUUCCGUUGUUUGGUUUACCGUAAUUUUAUUACGCCCAAAAAUCUAGUUCACCCAAAAUAAUGAAAUUGACUUCCCCUCCCAUGGGGGCGAAGUCAAUUUCAAUGAGGUGAAAAUAGACAAGAGUGGGAAUUAAUGUGUUAGGGUUACCCUCUUCUCUACCCUUUCUUCUCAUGAGUCCUAGAUCCAACUCCAAAUAUAUUCAAUUGUGGAAGUAAUUAAAUUUUUUAUUUUGAUUGUAUGUCUAAAAUAUGAUCAAAUUUGGUUAGAAAAGUUUUAAUAUAUUUUUUGUUUAAUUUGUAUAUUUAGAAAAUGAUGAAAAAUGAAUUUGUUAAAUGUUAAUAAUUAUUUAAGUUUAGAAUUUUAUUUGUUGUAUUAUUAUAAUUUAUAUGCAAACAAAUAAUCAAAUUUUUUUAAUUUUUAUUUUAUAAUCAUACAUAUAUAUAAUUAUAUACAUAUAUAAUUAUAUUAAUUUUUAUUUAUUAUAAUUUAUUAUUCACUAAGUUAUAAAAUAGACAAUGAUAUCACUUCGGAGGUAAGUAUACCAGGGGUGAAGAGCUACACUNAAAAAUUCAGACGCUUUUCCGCUUUGUUUUAAACUGAAAAGGGACCCCGGGGCGUGACACAAACAAACAACAGAACUCGCAGAACUGCACUUCCACAAUUAGAAACAAACAGCAGAAGUGAAUUAAUUUUCACCCCAACUUCACUUCAACCCAAAGUCCACUUCCACCCCAAGUCUACUUACAUUGAAACAAAUAUGCCCGAGUCUACCACCAUGGCAGACCUUUGGAGUAUGGGCCUAAUGGCUCAACAACCAUUAAGAUUUUUUUAAAAUUUCUUUUCAAAAAAAAAAAUAUAAGAAAGCUGAAAAGAUCUCUUUCGGUGAAAAUGACCGGAAUGCCCUCACUAACAUUUAAAUUUUUGACUAUUAGAGAGGACAUUUUAGCCAAAAAAUUAAAAAUUUAUAUUUUUAUAUAUUCAAAAAAAAAUUGAAAGCUUUUUAACAUUCGUAAAUACUCCUACAAAUCUCUAAAUUCGUCAUAACAAAUAAUUCAUUAUUCAUUUUCUUCUACAAAUACUAAUUCUUCUACAAACACUUUAUCUUUCCACUCUCAAAUUUUCAAUUUAAAAUUUUCUUUCGAUUUUUUUAAUUUUUUCAACAACCCUUUUUACAAAAUCUUUCCACAAUCUCACCGUACAAAAAUCAUUCUCAAGAAAUAUUUAAUCUUUUAUUUUAGUUUUAUAUAUAUUUUUAAAUAUUUUUUAUUUAAUUAUUUUUUAGUAUUCUUAUGUUUAAUUUUCAAUAACAAUAUCGGGUGAAUUUUCUCAUAUAGAUUUUUCUUAUACUGAUUAUACUCUUGAGUAUUUUAUUGGUAAUCAAUCAAAAACUGCAGCCAGUGUGACUCUACACCAGAUAGUGAUAUCUUUCAACCUUAACAAAAUUUAGAUGCAAUAUCUAAAGAAGCAUCUAAACGAAAAAUAAACGAAGUAUGAAAGUAUUUCGAUAGCAAAAAUAUUGAAGGAUAAGAUUUGUGGACUGUUUGUAUAACAUGUGAGCUCAUUAUUUUUGUGAUAGUUUCGAUGGAAUAGGUUAUCUUAAUCGACAUAUACAGAAACACCAGACAAAAGAAGAUAAAAAGAUAAAACAAUCAUAACUUGCUUUUACUAAUAGUGGUUUUCAAUAUUUUUAUGAAUGUAAUAAAAGAGAGCUUGCUUUAUAUAUUGUAUGAGCUGAGCAACUACAUGCAUUCGCCGAAUAUCCAUAUUUUAAAUAUUGUGUGAAAAUAUCUUUGAAUCCUAUAUAUAAAAAAAACUUCUCGAAAUACUAGUCAAAAAGACUCAAUAAAAGCAUUUCUUGACUAUAGACGAAAUAUAAUUUUUAUUUUAGAAAAUUUGAAUUCAAAAAUUUUACUUACUUUCAAUUUUUGGACGUUAAGAAAUGAAUGCAAUUUUAUAUGUGUUACUGUACAUUGGAUUGAUUCUAGUUAGAAAUGACAAAAAUGAAUUAUAAGUUUCAAGUACUUGAGUUUUCAUACAUUGGUACUCAUAUUGAUCAAGCUAUUGAAAAUAUUUUGCAAAUUUAUAAGAUUAACCAAAAAAAAUUUUCAUGUAGUUUUGAUAAUGCUAGCAAUAAUAGAUCCUAUAAUUAAAUUAAAUGGAGUAAAAAUUGCUCUUACAAAAUAUAAUAAAUUUUUAGAAAUUAAUUCAACAAAUUAUUCAAGUAUGAAAAAUAUUUUUCAAAUAUUAAAUAAUUCUUUAUAUCAAAUAUAUAGUAUUUAUGCAACUAGAUUAGGUAGCAAGCGACCACAUUCUUUGCGGUUGCAAAGUAGCAGCAGUAGUAGCAGUGAUAAAACUAGUGAAAAUAUGAUAUAGUCUUUGGUGAGAAAAUAAAAACAAACUGAUUUUUAGUGCAACUUCUUUUAAUGAACUUUAGUUUUAUUUGUAAACUGAUUAUUCAAAUCUUUUCAACGAAGAUGAAUAAGAUAAGCAAGAUAUAUUAGCCUUGUGGAAGACACAUGAAAGUACAUAUCUUGUACUUUUUGCCAUGGCACAUAAUCAACUAACCAUGCAGAUUUCAAUGGUGGCAUCAGAGUUUCUUUUUAGUGCAGAUGGAAGAAUAUUGAAUGAUUAUAGAACUCGGCUUAAAGAGGAUGCGGUCAAGGUAUUAAUUUACUUAAAAGAUUAGCGAGCUGCAGAAUUAAAAAUACAAGAAAAAAGAGUUCAUGAAUUCAAAUGAAACAUUAUCAUCUGCUUAAAAAUAUAUCAGCACAUGUGGCAUGCUACAGUAGAACCUUCCCGAUCUCCUGCUGCCGCCUAUUACUCAUUGCACCUCUCUUUUUUUAUUUGGUACCUCUUUUUAUUAGAUGCCUAUUUUUAAAAAAAACUAAAAAAUGAUGUAAUGAAGAGAAAAUAGUGUUGCAUUUUAUUUAAAUAUAUUUCUUGAUUUUUUUUAUUUUUUUAUUUUUUUAAUGUAAUUAUGUAAUAUGAUUAAUACAAACUGUAUAUAUUUUUUGUAAUUGUUCUUUUUUUUAGAAUAUCAAUUUCUCUUCAAAUAAUAAAAAAAUAUUAAAAAGUUAAUAUUAAUUUCAUAUUAAAGUUGGUUAUUGGACCAAAAAAAUGUAAGUUAAAAAAUUUAUAUUAAAAAUCUAUAUAAUUAAAAAGUUAAAAUUAUUGAUCUCUAAAUUUUAAAUCUUAUAAUAUUUAUAAUUAAUAAUAUUAAAAAAAUAUAUUUAUUGUUGGUAUUUUAAAAAAAAAACAUAUAAAAUUUUUAAAAAAGUAUUAAAAAUGUUGGGUAUAAUUGUGUAAAGUAAAAUUUAUAAGUUAAAAAUUUAUAAUUUAAAAACGAGUUAUCUCUUUUUUCUAAAAGAAAUAAAUUUUUUCUUGAAAAAGUAAAAAAAAUUAUUGGGAAGAAAUUAAGAAAAAACUAUUCUAGGCUGGCACGAAGCCCAGCCCGGCCUGGCCCGGCUCAUGCUGGGCGGGCUAGCGGGCCGGGCUGGGCCUUUCCACUUAGAUAGAGAGCCCAUAUUCUCCCUUGCCUCGAUCUCUCUCUUCUCUCUCUCCUAGCCGCCCCGGUCCCGUGCUCCCCACCCCGUCUUCUCUCUCUCUCUCUUCUCCUCUCUCUCUCUGUCUCUCUAUAUAUAUAUAUAUAUAAGAUCACAGCUACUACUCUAUUUGAUACCAAGCCCUUGGUCCACUAUUGAGUGUCGGACAUUGAGAAGGCGAUGUGGCGGUAGGAAUGAUAGUGGUCCCCACCGGUUAAUUGAUAGUGUCCCCUAGGGUUGAUGUGGCUGUUGGUUUAAUAUAUUAAUCUAACGGUGGAAUUAAUCGCAUCAAGGGUGAUCUACUGUAGAAAACUCAUAGUACAAGGGCUUACCGUUAUAAUCUACCUUGAUCGUUAAUUUCCACCCGUUAGAUUAACUAUUAAACCAACCACCCACUCAACCCUAGGGACGCACUAUCAAUUUACCGGGGACCACUAUCAUCCUAACGCGACAUCUUCUUCAUCCAACUUGCGCGAAACUCAAAUGUACUCAAAGGGUUGGUACUGAUCGAUAGUUAAUAGCAUAAUUAUAUAUAUAUAUAUAUAGAAUAUAUAUAUAUAGUAUAUAUAAUAAUAGAAGAGAGAAGAGAGAGAGAAGAGAGAGAGAAGAGAGAGAGAGAGAGAGAGAGUCGCUACUAUGCUAUUAAUAGCACGAAGCACUUGUGCUACCAAGUUUUCCGGCCGUUAGACUCACUUUUAUUAUUUUCAAUCGUUAGAUCAUACUAUUUCAACCAACCACCCUCAACCCUAAGGGGGCCCACAUCAUUCUAACCGCACAGCUCUUACCCAAUGCCAAAAACUUGGUAGCAUGGUAAUAAUCGGACUUUUGAUACUUGGUGAGGUGUAAGAAAAGAGUGUGAAAUGAGGUGAACUGUUUGGCAGCAAAUUGACGCGAAAAACGGAUAAAUUGGACCAAUAUUUCAUUAUGAGAGACCAUAUUGCAAAUAGCAAAAUUAAUGGAUUAAAUUGCAAAAUGGCUUGAUCUUAUCCUCUCUCCCUUCUCUCUCUCCCUUUGAAGCGUGCCAGAAACAAGAGAAAAGAAAGAGAGAAAGAGAGAAAAGAAGAAAAGAAGAAGAUGAAGAUGAAUUCGAGGUAAGAUAAAAAUUUCUAUUCUUCUCUUUCCCUUCCCUUCUCUUCUUUUCGUUUCCUUCCUUCCUCUCUCCCUUUCCCUUCUUCCUUUCCUUCCUCCCUCUCUUCCCCUGUGGCUGCUGCUUGCUUGGUUUGCAGCCCUUGGCAGCUGCUUGGGCCGAGGUAGCUAUAGUAGCUCAGCAGGCACAGCAGAUUGCGUCUGGCAGGGCGCGCCCAAUAUUGCGGCAAGGCCAAAGGUUGUUGGCUACUGCAGGGGCAGCAAGAAGAAAGAAGAAGAAAGGAAGAAGAGGAAAAGAAAUGAAAGAAGGAGAAGUGAAAAAGAGACAUCAAGAAAGGAAGAGAGAGAGAGAGAAGAGAAGAAGAUGGAGAAGACAAGUAGAUAAGAUAUAACAUGAAUGAAGUGGAUGUAAAAUUGGAUUGAGUGAUGGGCAAUGCGUGAUUCGCUACCUCUAAUCCUUGCAAUGAUGACCGAGGGGGUCUCGAGAGUGUGAAUUAGUGGUGAUUCACCAAUUUUCGAUGAGGCGCAAUGUAAUAAAUUUCGAGAAAUGCGUGGCGAAUGGGGUCGCGUGUAGCCUUUCUUUUAUCGGAGUCGACAUAGCGAGUCGAGGUGGGUUCCGAGUCGUCGAAAACGGCGAAUUUCCCCCUAUGUCUAUUUUGGUACAAGCUAUAUAAUAUUUGAAUUUGCGCAUCUGGUUUACCUUUUUAUUGAUCCUCAGACCGUGAAAAAUUGAAGCAUGAUAGAGAUUUAGCAUUGACAUCUAAUUAUGAGCAGAAGUAUGUAUAUGCAUAUGCGUAUGAUGAUUUAUACUUGAGCAUUGUGUUGAAUAGACGUAGCUCAUGGCCCUAUUUGUGGUUCUCCGUUCAUGACUUUGUUUAUUGAAGAGAUUAUUGAAAGAGAUGCUAUUAGCAUGAAGUUGAGUUCAUAUGCAAAGAUGAGAAAGUCACACUUCUUUCCUCGCCAUGAUAUAGUAAUUGUCAGCAAUAUUUAGAUAGUUUAAUUCAAGUCUUGGGAAGCCAAUUGACAUUUCAUGUAUCUUGAUUUAGUCAUCUAUUAUUCACUUAUAUCGUGUAUGGUAUAUAGUAUGUGAUAGAAAUGUCAUUUUGAUGCGUCAUUAUUAGUCGCUUGUAUCGUGCAUACCAUAUAGUGUGUGUCAGUGGCCAUGGAUAGCGCGGCAAUGGUGUACAGAGAUUUGGACAUAGAGAGGGCCUUUGUUUAUUCUGUCGUGAUGUUUGACCUACUAUUUACUCUAUGAUUACUCUGAGGACAUUGGAUUGGGCACUAUGAUAUUGUUGACCAUGACAUAGACUAUAGCCUGCUGAUGUCACCUUGAGAUGACAGACUUGUGCUAUGAUACUCGGUAGGGGUUGCUCCCCUUCGAGUGCCGCUCCGGACGCUGGCCAGUUAUAUCAGUGAUAUGUGUACCCUUGGGAAGACGACCCACCUGCGGGAGUGGUGUUCGGGCUGGGGGUAGAGCCUAGGUGUCGACGGUGCACCUGCGGGAGUGCGAAUUCCGACACUAGGCGGGCGCAGGCUUGACCGAACGUACGAGUCGGUCGUUGUGAUUGGGUAUUAUUAAACAUUGUUCCAUACACUACUCCGUUGCUUUCUUUUCCUCUCUCUACAUAUAUAAAAACAUGAUAGUACAACAGGUAUAGAAACAGGUAUGGAGAGUUGUUUAUAUCACAUGCAGAUAUUUAUUUACUGUUACUUUACAUUUGUCUAUGCAGGUCAUAGUCAGUUAGCCUUCUACUAUGCUUGACAUUCCUUUACGCUGCUUAUAGUUGAUUAACUUGAUUGUCACUUAUGAUCAUUCGUUUAUCUGCUUAGUUAAUUUCCUGGUACACUUGCGUUUCAGCUACUUAUGUACCGUAUAUGUUAUUGUUCAUUUAUUAAUUUGGCUUCCAGUAGACCUAGUGGGAAGGUCGUGGUUAUCGAUGAUCGUACCCACUGGGAACUGCUGUUUAGUAGUUCUCACACCCUUUGGUGGUUUAUUUUUUCAGGGGUCGUAUAUUGGCGGUUGAUCGAGAUGAGGGGGAUCGCGCAGUAGUUAGCAUCUCCUACCCAUAUGCCUUUACAGUAGAGGGCCACCAGAUAGAGUGCUAUUUUUGUACAACCUGCUUGUACUGGCGAGGGUCUGGAUUGUUUUCGUAUACUUUCCUUUGUAGUUGAGGUUUGUUUGGUGAUAUUCGUGUUGUACGGCAACUUAGUUGAGAAAUUAUAUAUAUAUAUAUAUAUAUAUAUAUAUAUAUAUAUCUUGAUCCGAUUAUAUGAUAAUUAUCGUGGUUCAGUAACCACGAUGGUUCAAAAAUCGGUAACCUAAUUCUCUACGCAUCAAUUUUACUACACCCGGGGAUCCGAUUAUAUGAUAAUUAUCGUGGUUCAGUAACCACGAUACAGUGCGGGGCUCAAGUGUUGCCUUCUGAUGCUCUGCGAUUGUCUGGGCGGCUUGCCUGUCUCAGAGGGGACAGGCUUGCUUCGCCGUUGUUUUAGCUGUUCAUGUUUUGUUAAGUGCUCCAGCUUGUCCUGUCUGUAGGUGUUAUGUUCUUAGUUCUUCCUCAUGUCUUAUUUGUUUACUGUACAUAGUCUCACGGUAAUCUUUUUGUAUGUGGGAUGUCUGUCCUGUUAAUGCGAGCCUCGUGAGAUGUUUUGUACUUCGUCGAUUUUGUUGCCGACGAGCUGAAUCGUUCGAGGGACACGGGGAGAUCUGUCCGUGUCGACUCGGUCUGUUAGCCGUCUCGUAAGUCUUGUUCGUUGUGAACUCGGGGCGAGGUGAGCAGGCGAGCGCAGAGAGCUUUUUUUGGAGAGAGAGUGGCGCGUGAGGCGCGGCCCGGAUCGAAAUUAUAUAACUAGCGCAUGGCGUCCUUAAUCCAAGUGGCUAAAAACUUGGUAGCACAAUGAACUUGGUGAUUAUGAGUAUAUAGCCUAGUCUUAGGUAUAAGAUAUAUAUGAUAUAUAUAUAUAUAUAGUAUAUAGUAUAUAAGAGGUUGGACUGGGUAGCUAUUAGUAGCAAAUCGCUCAUUGUUACUAACCGAGUUUUUUACUCUUUGGAUCAAGCUCUUUUCGAUCAUUGGUCUAAGUCAAUGUGGAUUAAAUACUAUUACCCAGUGAGGACUCAACCCUAGGGUGGACCACUUCACCGUAAACUGACUAGAUAUAUCCUAACUGUUCGCUACAAUUUUCAUCCAAGGGUUGAAAGAACAUUGAAUCAAAGAAAGAGAUGUCACUAUCGCGUAGCGACGUGGGGUCCCGUCACGCAAUGGGUUGUUUCCGAUGAUGCGCUCUAUCGGAAGAUCGACGUCGCUCCCGUUGAGACUGUGGAUCUACAAUUCUUAUUAAAGGCAUUGUGCAGAACUAAAUUGUCAUAAUUUUCGGAGGUAUCAUUUACGCUAUCAAGCAAAUACUCUAAAUUGAACGCUGAAAUAAAAAUUCUAUAAAAUGAUGAUUAAAAGAUUAUAAAUUCAAAGAUCAGAUAGUACUGAUUUAUUCUACAUAUAGUGAAAAGCAAUUUCUAUAACAAUUUUCUCAGAUUGGAUUUGUUUUUACAACCAUUAACUCACAAACACGGCACAUCGGCCAUUAAAAAAUGCCAAUUUUGAUGAUAUCUUUAUACACUUAAGCAAUGAUGGUCGAAAAAUUAUGAAUGUACUCCAAAUACUUUAAUAGUGUAGAUCAAGUCUAACGGAGCCUGAUCGUCGAUUUUGGAAGCCGCAUCAUCGAAAACAACUUGUGUAGCUGGUAGUUCCGUGCUACCAAGAUAGUAAGGCAGCUGGCAACCUUCCUUGGUUGCUUUCAUGGCUACUGCUACCAUGGAUAUUGUUGUAGGUGCUUGUUUUGGCUGUGGUUGCUUCUCCGGCCAUCUGGCGCCUUCAGCGACCCUUCGUUGGUGAGCACGACACCCUUGGAAGUCAGUGCUGGUCCAUUAUCACGCCCCAAACCCGAUCCUUUUGGCCGGUUCGAGCGCGUCGAAAAGACGCCGAAUGGACAGAGCCUCCCCCGUCCGCCCAAGGCUCAGCAACAGGUACAGAUAGAGUAUAAAGUUUGCACUUGCGGAAGCAUACACAAUGACUUGCACGAGGGUAAGCAAUAGCCAAAGUGAAAGUACUAAACUAAACUUCAACAAGUAAUAUGAUUAACUUUAAAUCACAUACAUGUAUACUACUUUAAUCAAGUUCCUUUACAUGCUCUUACAUCAUUUCUUUUUACAUCACAAUGCUCCAAAACCUUAAUUUUUGACAUUUAAAGUAAAUAUCUUUUACAUCAUACUCAUAAGCAUCUAGAAUCAUCAAAUACAAAAGAUGAUAGUAAAGGAAAUGCAACUACAAAAUAUGAAACCAUCUCGGGUGGUCUCUAUCUAGGGCGCGAUGCCCUUACCGCGGUCGUUCGCCAGCUCGCUUGGUUCCGGCUCUGUGGAAAAUGGGGUGUGAGAACUACAACAAAGUUCCCAGUGGGUUCGGCAACCAACCACGCCGACUUUCCCACUAGGUCUAAAUCAGGCAUAAUAGAAGAACAGAUAGAUAGUAACCAACUAAACAAAUGCAGCUAAUAUGCUUGAACAAUAAGUAAUGCGAUGCUCGAUAAAAUACUCAUGAUGAAUGCAAGAUCAUAGUUUCAUUACCCAAUCUCUUGGCUAGCCCGUAGGUUUCGCCCUCAAUAGACUCACCAACUCAAAUCUCAAAUAUUGGGGAGACUACUACGCCCGACGGGACCGUCCUCUGGGGAGACUACUACGACCCAGUGAUGACAACUCCGGAGCACAUCGCCCGAGGGGGAGCUACCACCCUCUAGCAAGGACUUACAGGUGAGUAUAAUCCAAUCCUUAACUAUAAGGAUGUCAAGUUCAAUCCAUUCCUUAACUGUAAGGAAACAAUGUACAUAUGACCCUUAACUCUAAGGUUUCUAUGUCAUAAUGUCACAAUAUUACUUUCUCUGUUCACUUGCAUUCUUUGACUUACACUAGUGUCAUACACAUUACUUUGUUCUUGGUACUCAUUUACUCAUGUCACACUUGUUUUCUAAGUGUUCAACUCUAGUGUUCUUGGCUCUUCAAUGUCACUCACUACCUUUAUGUCAACAUGUCACACUUGUUCUCUAAUUCACUAAGUUCUUGUCAUUUUUUCAUGCAUACAUAGGGUUUAUAGAUUCUCACUUGUAUUUCACAUGCAUUUGAACUCACAACAUGUAAUAAGAAGCUCACAAUAACCUACUAUGCAAUAUGCUCAAUAGAUACAAAUGCUCAAAUAUGACACUUUAGACAUAAAAAAAAUUUUGAGGUCUUCGGUGCACCACCCACCUUGUAUGGUUGCAAAGGUGCUAUGGUAAAUUUCUUAAAAUUUUUGAUGCCCUAUUUUUUCGCUUGCGACAAAACGAAGCCAAAUUAGGCUUUUUCUCAAUAACUUUAUCUAGACCUUUUCAUAACGUAAAAUGGAGUUGUCCCACACGUCAGGAAUACCCCGAAUUAGGUUUCCAAGAGGUCAAUUUACCUCGAAAAUAAUUGGAGACAAAAGCCCCAAAAUUCAUGCCCUAAUAAUGCCAUAAUGGGAUUUCUCCUAGAUUGAUCUCAUUUCUAAGCAAAUACUAGCUUAGAAUCACCUAGGAAGCUCUCUAAUACUAUUUCCAAGCUAUUUGGACCAUUCCUAGGGCAUCUACUUUAAACCUUAUCUGUUCACCAUAGGAGCACCUUGAGAAAACCAUGGUUUUCAUGGUGUUCAAGGCUCACAAUACUUCUAAACAUGAGAGAAGCCCCAAAACCUUAAGUUUCAUAGUGGAAAUUCAAACCCUACAUGAGCUUUUGUACUAAAACUCACCUUAGCCAAAAGCUAUCCCCAUGUCCACCUUGAUGGAGAGCUUCUACACCUUCAAAACCUUCAAAAAUCUCCUCCAAGCCUGCUUUUCCUUCUCAUCCAAGCUCUACGGCAAGAUCUCUAGAGAGAGAAAGAGAGAAAUGAAAGGGAGAGAGUGGAGGGGUGUUUGCUGUGAAGGAGAGGAGUGUUGGGUUUAUUAUAGUGUGCAACAAUUACAACUAGGCCCUCCAAAUAUUUGUAUUUGCAACAGAUCAAUUCCUUGCUGCCAGACCAAAGUGUACCGAUACACGGGACUCUGUCACCGGUAACACGAUUACGCAGAGCCAAACUCGAGAGCAAAUUCCUCGAAUUUUACCAAAGUGUACCGGUACACACUAGGGGUGUACCGGUACAUUUCUGCGAAAACUCAAACCCGAGAGCAAACUCUUCUCGGUCUGUAGGGCUGUACCGGUGACAACUCGAUGGUUGUACCGGUACACUUUGCCCAGAAUGCUGGUUUUGCACCGUUUUCGAUUCUAUUUCGCGCCGAUCGAUGCUAAAACCUUUUUAACACCUCUUAAACUCAUUUUUUCCCCUUCCAACAUUGUUGGAAUGCUAAAUGCAACUUGCCCAACUAUUUCUUUCGCAUUGUUCACUUUUAAAUCACGCCGAGGAAUGCUAAAACUUGCUUAACACUCUCGGCACUCGACUUUGACCCUUCCAACAUUAUUGGAAUGUCAACCGGACUUUGUUCAUCCAUUUCUCUCGGUACUUUAACCAAUUUGGCUAAAGUUUGAUAAUCGCUAUCGAGGUUUCGAUACGUUGCAUCCAUGCUUCCCCAAGUUUCAGGUAAUGGUGCCUCGAAUUGCCGUUUUCAAAAGUUCCCACCCGGUGUUUAAUAAAAUGAUUAUUUCUUACUUCGGCUUUUUUGGUUAAUCCGAUGGUCGAAAAUUAGAGUUCUUGGGAGUACGAUGAUCGUGAGGAAUCCCUCUACGCUGUGCUCAUGUUGCUGGUGCGAAUCGGAUGAUCGGUGGAAUCAUGAACCUGUUGUACCCGAUAUUGGCUCCACAUGGCCUAUUCUUGCUCUCCGACGGUCAGUGACCGUUGGGUGACUCUGGUGCUUGUUCACGGUAGCCAGAGGCACGUCAUCCAUCCUCGUGCACUUCUGUUUCAUUUCCGGAUUAUGGAAGUUCGAUAAGUUGCUCAAAUUUUCCUUUAUGUUGCUUUAGUUAAUGUUCAUGUGAUUGCAUUAUGAAUUCAGCGUUUCGAUGCUUUUUGCACGGUGGGCAGUGUUGGACAGCGAUGUUUAGUAUGGUUGGAUGCUUGGGCUUGUUGUUGGAGGUCCCAAAACCUCCUGCAGUCGAUUUGAUGCGAAACAACCCAAAUCGGGCCGAAAUCAAAUCGAUAAUGCGGUUUUCGAUUUUGUUAUCAUGAAAUCGAUAUUGCUAUUGUCCAAAUUUGUUGUUAAGCUUGUUGGUUGGUCUAGCCUCGUGUUUUGCAUCCCUCGUGACAGUGAGUGCAUUGUGGGUGGUCCCGGUACCGAAAUAGGUAUUUCGAAAAUUCGGUUUGAGUUACUUUUGGAAAUUUAGAACCUCGUGUCGCGUACUUUGCGUGUAGCUGUCCUAAAACUUAAAAUGUGGUGUUUGGGAAUAGCAGAUGUGAUUUGGAGGUGUUUGGUGUGACCCAGUACACUACAUGAGCUGAAGUGGCAUCUCAGUGAGUUUAUGCGAAUUUCGGCGGAAUUGGUAAAUGUGUUCGAUAUUCUGAUUAUGCCAUUGCAUGUUGUGGGUAACUUUAUGUCACCAAUUGGUGAUGUUGUGGUGUUGAGAGUGUCUUGGGGUUGAUUAUAUAGUUCGUGUGUGAUUCGACACUUUCGGAUCUGCGCUUUUCAUUCCCACCAUGACGUUGUUCCACAAUUGUUGUCCAGUUUGCCCACCACUUGAUGUGUGGGCGUCUCAGCACCUAAAGAUGUGUAUCUUGGAAUUGUGGACAUGUUGUUGUGACUCCCUAUUGAGUUGGCUAGUUUUUGGGCCUAGUUCCAUAAGCUAGUUUGUGGAACUGAGGUUCCGGUCGCAUCGUGGUAUACGUGGGUGUGGGUUGAACGUGUCGGGUGAUAGAAAUAACAUGUAGGAUACUGAUUGUAACAUAUCGUCCCUUGUAAAUCGUGUCGAGUUCCGUCGAAAUGAGCGGAACGCGGAGUGGAACGGGUUUGUAUAGGCUCUAAGUGUAUUGGAGCCUAUAUAAGGUGUUAAGGGACCCGAGAGAGUGAAAUUUCAAAAUCUGGCUAAGUUCUAGAUUUUGUGCUCUCAGGGACCGGUCCCUGAAGGAGAGACCGGUCCCUGUACGUGUAGCCUGCCAGGAAUCCUGGGGCAACCGGUUCCUGGCAGUGAGACCGAUCCCUGAGAAACCGGUCCCUGAGGGAGAGACCGGUCCCUCAUUGCGCAGCCAGCCAGGAAACCCGAAAAUCGGCUAAGUACUGGAAAUCAGCCUUUUGGGAACCGGUCCCUGGUCGGGGAGACCGGUCCCCCACUAUGAGUUUUGCCCAGUAAGGGCUGAUGCAAAUAUUGGGAGUUGAGGGGUCUUGUUGCUAUUGUUGCAACAUGUUAUGUACCCAUCCCCUCUUACCCUCUCUUCCAUAGCCAUUCCCACUCCCCUCUCUUAUAUUUCCCUCUUUCUCUCUCUAAAAGCUUAGGCUAGGGCUUGGAAGAGAAGGAGAAGAAGCUAGGAGAAGGUGGUUUCAAAGGAUUUGGUGGAUCUAGAAGCUCUCCAACAAGAAGGAGCUUGCUAGAACUUGGGCCAAUGUAAGUUCUAGCAUGUAGAACUCUAGGGUUUGGAUUUUAACCCUAAGUUUUGGGAUCUUGAGUUUGUUUCAAGCUUUGGAAACCUUGUAGAGCUAAGAAACCAUGAAAUCCAUGGUUUUCUUGUACAGCUCUCAUGGUAGAUCACUAGGGCUCAUGGUAGAUGCCCUAGGGAUGGUUCCAAAGGCCUAGAAACCUUAGUAGAAUGCUUCUUAGAUGAUUCUAAGCUAUUAUUUACUUAGGGUUGAGAUCAAUUUAGGAGCUAUCACAUUAGGGCAUUGUUAGGGCUCAAAUUUGGGGCUUUUGCCCUAGAAUUUUUUCGAGGCAAAUUGACCUCAUCGAAACCUAAUUCGGGGUCAAAUGAACGUGUUGGACAACUCCGUUCGUCGAAACGAAAAUGUUUAAGUAUAGUCCAUGUACAAAGGACCUAAUUUGGGCACUAUUUUGGGUUGUAGGACGCGGAUCGUCGUUCGUAAGGUUCGGGAGAUUAUCGCGUUCGUCUUCUACUACCUCACAAUGUGAGGGGUGCAUUUCAAAAUCGUUGGAUUCCCUUCUAUGUCUAUAUCCCUUGUUAUUUGAGCAUUAUGUACGGUAUCGUCCAUGCAUGAGAGGGUAGUUGUACAUGAGAGUUUUGGUUGUUUACUUAUAUGUUUCUAUCUUGAAUGAACAUAGAGAACGAAAACCAUAAUUGACAUGUAUGCUGGAACCCUAGAGAUGCAUGAGUAUGAGACUUGGACCUUGAUUAUAGUAAACAAGGGUGACAUUGACAAUAGAGACAAGAUUUGGCAUUGAGAAAAUAAUUGUUAAACAUAGUUUAACCAAGAGUGGCAUUGUGACAAGAUGGCUUAGAAAAUGACAUGAACAAAUAGGUAGAAACCUAUCAUGACAAUGGCAUUGAGGCUAGUGGCUAAAGUAUCCUCAAGUUGAGGGUUGGAUCGAUCCUCACGCGAACUUAGGCUUGAGGGAGGUCGCUGCUCCACAAGCGGUGUACUCCGGAGUGUAGACACCAACGGGGAAGUACCCCGUCGACGAUCCCUCGGGUGGUUGUGCUUAAAGCCUCCCCCGGUAGAUGGAAAAUGAAAUUGUGAGUUAUUGGGGUUAACAAAGUUAACCGGUAAGAUUGGGUAAAGAAAGACAAGGUAAAGAAGAGAACAUGCAUGCAUGCAUAUUAAAUAUUGUUGAUUACAUAUAUCCACUGACCUUCUUUCUGCAGGCAUAGUAUUAGAUGCACUAGUUGUUAUGGUUACUGUUUCCAUUUCCUUGAUAUACUUAUGCCUGGAUAGACCUAGUGGGUAAGUCGGCGAGGUCGGUUGUCGAACCCACUGGGAAUUUCGUUCUUGUUCUCAUUACCACUAACCCUACAGGUCCGAGCGCGAGUGGGGUGGCGGAGGACCGAGGCAAGGGUUUAGCGCUAUAGUUAGUGGCCACCGGGACAUCAUUCAUUUUGUAGUCAUUUCUCUUUUUGGUAUACAUGAAUCAACUUUCGUUUUGUUGAUUUAGAGUUGUAAAGUUGAAAAAAUAAUUAUGUAGUGAAUGGCUAAAAUUGUAAUGAAAUGAUGAAGGAAUGGAAAACAAUGAAUUAGUAUUGGUUUACUUUUAUUUGGUGCAAAAGCAAUCAAGUACUAUGUAUGUAAUAUGUUAUAGCUUAGAGCUUUCGCUUUCGUUGUUGCUUGCCCUCGUGCAAGCUUUGUAUAAUUGCAAUUCUCAUUGUUUGAUUGCUUUAUUAUACUUGUUGUUAGAGCCUUGGGUGGACAGGCGAGGCUCUGUCCGCUCGGCGUCUAUUGACGUGAUCUGAACCCGACCAAAUUGGCGGGGAUUGGGGCGUGACACUGAUGGUGGUUUUUGGUGGUACUUCUUAGGUAUAGGUGAUGGUUAGAUACAUCGGUCGAGUUGAGAACUCAGAUACUGGGUGAGGUGAGUGCUCCAUUCCAAAGUCGGUAAAAUUGUAUCUUAGUCGGCUUCCUCUUAUGUUUGAUCUAUUCUAUAUAGUGGUUGAGUAGGACAACAUGUCGUGGCUUCAUAUUGGUAUAUGCUUUUACUCUAUAUGCAUGUUGCUUGUUAUGUUGGUUAUCAUGUCGAUUCUUAGUCUCUUGAUUAAUUUUUCUUUAUAGUUGUUGUUUGAUAUGUAGAGUAGGUGGUGAUCUGGUGUAUUAUCCACCUAUCCAUGAUAGGACCUAAUUGGUCGGUGUGUAUUCCUUGUUGAGUAUUGAUUAUGUGGGUUCAUUGAUUUAUCCCUUGUGCAAUUGGACCCCCAUCGGUCUGCUAUCCUACUAUGUGUGAUUUUAUUUUGUAAGUUGGCACUCUUUUUACGAGAUUGACUAUAGAAGUUGGUAGACUCAUUGUGUUCAUGAUUGAGACCCCAACAUGCUACUCCUUUGCUCCCUUAUAAUUAUCAUCAUCCUCGUCAUGUAGCAUGCUAGUUGACGCGAGAUUUCCUCUUGGCUCUUCUUGUCGCCUGUGGGCAGUAAUUUGACUAUGAAUGAGCUUUGAGUACACACAUGUGGUUAUAGCUUGUGACGGCACUGUAGUAGUCUUAGAACAUGGUUCACAACCUUGAGUUCUUCAGUUACCAGCCCAGUGGGAGGUGUUGUUUCAUGGCCACCCUAAGUUCUUCACCCCUAGAUUUGAUGUACACCUCUCUUAGACAGAGUUAUCGACAUUGGGUGUAGGUGGUUAUGUUCCUCCAGAGUGGUACUUGAUUUUUGUUCUUCACGACCUAGUGGGCGAGCUUAGGCCGGUCUUUAUGACAAGUCAUGGUGAUUGGGUAUAAUUUGGACUAUUCUUAUGUCCAGUUGAUGCAUAGUAUCUCUGAUAGAGUUAUGCAUGGUGUUCAAGUAGUUGUUUGGAUUACAGUAGCGGUAUUCCUCAUUAGUGACUUAUGAUAUUUCAUUAUUUAUCAUCUUACUACUAUAGUUGGUGUUCCUAUUGCAUUGUAUAUGACUUUUAUUUACAGUAGCGGUAUCCUUUGGUUAGUUGUUCAUGAUAGUUAUUCACUUGUUAACUUGCUAUUGCUAUUCAUAGUCAUUGCAUUCAGUACCUAGCUUUAUGUUUAUAAUAGCAGCAUUAUUCUGUAUUCUAGUUCAUGACACUUAUCUAUUUACAUUAUGCUACUGUGAUUGACUUGUCCAUAUUUGCAGUUAUUCGUUUAUUGCACUCCUUUGUUUACCAGUGAGUGCAACUUGCCCUCGUCAGUUGGUUCGUCCUAGUGGAAAACAUAUUUAUAUGUCUCUCACCUUACUGUUUUUACAAGUGUCACUGACAGUGCGCAUUGGGGCACGGUAUGAGGAUGCGAUUAGCAAGCGCCUAGAUAGCUCGUGCUGUCGAGUUAGUUCUAGAUUUAUUCUUAUUCAUUAUAUUUAUUUCAUGUGGAGGUUUUGUGAUUUGGUUAUUGUGGUUUGAGUUUAGCUAUUGUGUUGGGUUUUCCUAUUAUAGUGGUUUAGCGGGAUCCUAAUUAUGGUUUUGAAUAGUUACAAGUUGUGGAAGCUUUCAUAUGUACAUCUACCUUGUUCAAGUUGCUUGUGGUUGCGUUUUUGUGCUCGUAAGCCGUGCAUGUAUAUGGGAGACUCUGUCCGCGUGGACUGUAGUGUCCCUAGGACUUAACUGUCGGAAUAACUACAAUAUUAAUGACUAGUCGACACAUUUAUAGAGUGUCAGAAAUAGUCGGAGUCGUUUUGGCGCAAAUAGAUGCGAAAACGGACUCGACGCACUCAAAUAAGCCAAAACUGAUGUUCUGACAGUUUAGGGUGCCCAGAAGCUUAGGGCACCUCGAUUCAGAGUGCUAUUUGGUAUAUGUUGCUAAAGUCAUUACAGACCCAGUUUAGAGUGCCCAAAAUAUGCGCUCAAAUUCUUCCUCGUGAAUAUCGAUUGUUUUGACACGUGGCAUGUGGUAGGUUUGAGUUGCAAAUGGAGGUUAGGCACAUCAGACCGCCACACGGGUGAGUCAUUUUGCUGGAUGCAGUGGUAAGCUGUUUGCGGCACCCGAAUUAUGGGUUUAGGGUGCCCGAAUCUGCAUUUUCAGUGCUGAAAUAGGUUAGCUUCUGUUUUUCUUGUGGCUUAUUCUACCCAUCUAUUGCUUAUAUUGCUUCUAUAAAAGGCUGUGGAUAACUCCUAAGAGCUCUUUUACUUCAUCUUUCACAUCAAGCUUGAAUUCCUCAUCUAAAUCACCUCCAAUUUAGCUCAAAUCCAUCUAUUGUUCCCUGUGAGUAGGCUUCACAGCAGGAAAAUCCAGCAACAACUUCAACAAAGAAUGGAAUUGUGAUUUUUUGAUGCUUCCGAUUGCUGUGGGAAAUUCUUUGGUGGAAUGUAGACUUGAAGGAAUGUGUUUGGAACAAUCCUAUAGUAAUUAAUUAUAGGUUAAUUAGUGAUAUUAAAUUGCUGAAUUUAGCUUGAAUUGGAGAUUUUGAGCUGAUUUUGGAAUUUUAUUAGAGUUCAUGGAUUCGAAUCCCAUUUCAACCCGAUUUUCGAAGUUGAAUCAGUUCCUACACCUUUCUUGGGUAUUUUAGGUGUUCUUUCACUAGGAAUUUCAAAUUUGGAAGGUCAGUUUAAUUCAGAAUUUUGAAUUUUUGUGUAAUAGAGCAGUUUUGGGAGACUUCGCUUGAUUUUAAUGAAAUUUUGGAUCCAGAUUUUUAUAGUGAGUUGAUUGCUGGAUUUGGAUUGGUUAUUCUCUUAUAUUUGGAGGUUUUAGACUCCUUUCCAUGGAAUUACAAAUUAGAAUUCUUAUAUUCUAGCUUGAAGUGAGUUGAAGUGCUGAGUGCUAAUUUUUUGAAUGCUGAUUUGGGCAUUCUUUUCUGGAUCCGAAUUGUCUUGAAGGACUUUUGGUUGCUAUUUUAGUUGAGAACUGGUGAGGCAACACACCUGGGUGAUUGGUCCUAUUACUAGGAGGUGAGUUUGAGUAAUUUUAGCACUUUAAUUCUAGAUUUUGCUCUGUUGAGCCUGUUUGAAAUAAUGCCAUUUUGGUUGGUGAUGUUACUGAUUUGUGCUCAGCCAGAACUUGUUGUUUCGGGAUCCAACAGUGAGGCUAUUGUGUGAAGGACUUAAGUUGGGCUUGUUGAUCACGGUAUUCCUUUCUAUGGUUCGAUUAGCUCUUCAGGUUGGUUAAUGUCUACCGAAAUUUGUGAAAUUUUUUCAAAGUUGUAGAGAUUUCGGCAUGCAUUAUUUUGUAUCAAUCAUCAUGUUUAGUGGCUUAAAUUGUAGACUUGCAUGUUAAUGUAUGAAAUCUGAUUUUGGAGUAUGAUUUAGAUAUUUUAGAUGAUUACUACAUGCUGAAUUGAAAAUUAACUUAGGAGAAAACGUACACAUUGAACUUGUCAUUUAUUCGAUCAGAUUUAGCUUCAGAAGCUUUUUUUUACUAUUGUAUUGUAGAUUUUACUGCGUCGCGGAUACUUAUACAUUAGUAUAGGUAGAGAUUAGGCUCAUAUUGAGAUACCAAGUGGAUUUUAUAGUAAUGUUUAGACUGUUUGUAAGACCCUAGAUAUUCCUAUAUAUAAGAUAUAAUAGGGCUGAAACUCUUAAUCCAACUUAAGCAUUUUGGGUAGUGGGUAGGCCCAAAAGGUUAAGAGAGUUAAGCAUGCUAGGACGAGAGUAGUCCUAGGAUGGUUAACCCCUAGGAAGUUAAGGCGUUACACUGUUCCGCAUUGUCGGGUGCCAUUCGGAUUAAUGGUAAACCCAGAUCCUUUCUUUUGUAUAAGAUUGUGUCGUGUUUAGGAUAUUUCUAAGUUGGCGAAGUUCGUGAAGUCGAAUGGAGUCUUAAAGAAGUGAAGAUGGAGAUUGAAGAGAUGAUUCAAGUAAUUCAAGAUCAAAAGACUCGUUCGGUGAUGCUCGGAACCCCAGGUAUGGAUAAGAAUAAUUUGUGGUGCAAUAUUGAUUUAUAAACAUAUUUGGAAGACUUAGGAUGGUUUUAAAAUCAAUUCUAAUCAAAAACUAAGUUUUUCAGGGUUCGGGGACCGGUCCCUGAACUGGGGGACCAGACCCCGUAGGUUCUCUCUGCGUGGAAACUACGAGGGACCGGUCUCUGUUCUUGAAGGACCGGUUCCCGUAAGGUGUCUCAUUUGAUACGAUCAGAGGGACCGGUUCCUGAACUGAGGACCGGUUCCCGUAACUUGAUUUCCACAUUACGCAGAGACAGACCGGUCUCCGACUUGAAGGACCGGUUCCUGUGGCUUGUGUUUUCAACCAUGCAACGAGGGACCGGUCCCUGGCUUUGAGGACCGGUCCCCCAAGGACCGGUCUCUUCGGGAGGACCGGACCCUAAGACCGUCGUCAGUUUUUAAAAUUGUGUUUUUGAAAUCUUAGUCUAUCUAGAAGUCUUCUAAACCUAUAAAUAUGAUAUGAGGAGCCCCAUAUGACGCAAGCUUAGAGAGAAAACUUUUUAGAAAUCCUAACGGCUUGAUUCGAAGCUUUUGAUCUAUGUUUUACAAAUCAAGUUUUUCUUUGAUCACCGAUUCAGUUCUUUGAUGUUUGAUUUCAAUGGUUCUUUAAGGAUCAAAUCGGUGAUGUUCUAAUUAGGGUUUCUCCUCAUAUCAUAUGUGCUUUCUAAGUUUUUAAAUCACCACAAAGUAUUAACAUUCUUCGAGCUAUGGAUGGAGCGUUGGCGCGUGGACUUUGCGUGAAGGCUGUGGAUUCGGUGGGCGCUUCGUGGAUUCGAGACGUGUUUGCUGCGAGGGCUUGCAGCGUGAUCGGUUGAAGGAGUUCGAUCGAUCGAGGACCGGCGAAGGCGAUCUACAACGAGGAUUCGGUAAAUUGAGUCGUGUAUUUUCGGUAAAUCACUUGUACUCAAUUUUUCAUAGUGGAUUGUUUUGUGUGAUUGGUCCCGUAGGUUUUUCUCUCCGGAUUGGAGUUUUUUCACGUUAAAUCUCAGUGUUUGGUUUUAUUUUUCGCUAUUAGUUUUAUUUUGCAUCGAGAGAUUUGUUUUUGCCAUUUACACCUAUUCACUCCCCCUCUAGGUGUUAUUUAUCUUUUAGAUCUUUAGGAUUCAUAUCUUACAUGCUUGGUUCCUAGAUCUAUUUGAUUAUUUGCAUCGACUAUAAACUGCGUGAGCCUAAUUGAGCUCGACACAGUGUGCUCUUUUGCUCAACUAAGUAUCUUCCCUGAGUGCCACUCCGGAGUAAGGCCUUCUUGCAUUCUUGUCGCAGUAGUCCUUUUGGGCAUUCAACUUAGACCUUGUGGGUAGUGUACGGAGUAGCAUGGGCACAGGCUGGACUUGCCGGUUGGCGGUCGCUUUGGAUUGAGUCAAUUGUAAUUGUUUCAUAACUAGUAAUGCAUAUAUACACAAAGAACAUGAUAUGAGUAGUGGUAGUGUAAUGGCGUAUUAGCUAUAGAGUUUAUUCUAGCUUACCAUAUUGUUCUUUUACCUACCAACUAUACUGUUAAUUUUGUAGAUUUAGUCGGUAGGCUGUUGGGGCCAGUGACGAUAUACACUAAGGACUACUUUGUUUGUAAUAGUUUUCACACCUAUUGUUGUCAUUUUUUCUUAUAGAGCCUUCGGCUGCUGCUGUAACACACUGAACUUUAGCAAAUUGCGAUGUUCUAGUGUUAAAAUAGCGUUUUAAGCUAUUUCCGGUGUUUUUGUUGGUCGUUGACUGAGUACCGACCCAUUUCUCAUGUUGCAGGAAUGCGCGAAAGAGAACUUAGCAUCAAAACCUCCAAACUGCAGGUUUUGGGGUGCUGCGUACCGGUAGCAGAGAGAAGGGGUACCGGAACUCUCCUGUAUAAUUGAGAAAAGCUGCUCUCGGGUUUGAGCUGUUGGGUGGUCGGGUACCGGUACGGCAUCGGCUGAGUACCGGUACGCCGCACUGUUUCUGCUUGACCGAGGCUCGGGUUUGGCAGUUUUGUUGACUUGGUACCAGUACUCUUUCCCGCAUACCGGUACGCACUGCAAAAACUGCAGUUCGUGCAGUUUGCAAUUUCUGGUGUUUUAAGGGGCUUUUUGGGGUUUGUUACAAUAUGUUAUAUAACCCCUUCAUCUCCCUCACAGCACCCUUUGUGCUGAGCUUGGAGAAGGAGAAAGCUAGGGUUUUUCUCCCUUUUUCUCUCUAGAUUUCUCCCAAACUUCUUUUAAUUUGAGGUUUGAUCUCUUUGUCUUCUUCUUCUUUAUGGUGGCAAGCUUGUAGACCUUGGAGGAAGCUUGGAUGAGAAGAGGAGAGCUUCUUGGUGGAUUAAUCUUCAACCCUACCUCAAGAUAGCUUGAUUUGGAACUCUCUUGAAGGUUAGUACCCAUCUUGCAACCUCUAUUUGUGAUUUUUGCAAGAUCUGGAGAUGAAAACCUAGUUUUGAAAAAACUAGGGUUUGGUUUGCGAUUUCUUGAUUUGAGGCUUUUGGAACUUAAUUGAUGAGUGUAGAACUCUUCUUUAGGUUAGAUUUGAAGAUCCUUUGGAUUGAUAUAUUUGAGCUUUGGACAAGUGUAGCUUGAUCAAAGGUGAUUUUCUACCUCUUGUUGGGUUGGUUAAAGUUAAGCUUGUGGGGUGUUCGUUCAUUACCCCUAACCCUUUUAGAAAUUUUUUUAGGGUACUAGGAGCUUGGUGGACAACUUCGUUCGAAGGAAUGAAAUGGUUCGAAGAUCAUCCGGUGGGUUUGACCUCACCGAAAUGGGUAAACUCCCUCUAUGUCUUCCUUAUGGUUUUAAGACAUAUUUAGAUGCUUAUUCAUGCUCAUUAUGACAUGCUAGAAUUUAUGAAGACAUAAUAUGUACAUGUUAUGUAUAGUAAAAAUUUAUGCUCUAUGUAGUAGAGGCAUUGUUCGGAGCCGAAUUUCCUGAUCCUUGACCCGGUGAAAGAUCUUCCUCGGAGAACAUGUAGGGAUGAAAAACAGCUACGAAUAGUGACCCUCGAAGUUUGCGCCCUUCGACUCGAUCAAGCGAUUCGGCUGAUGAGGGAUCGAAUCAGCGGAGUUCGAAGACCUUUACUUUAGACUCGGUUCGGCUGGAAGAGCCGAAUGUACAGAAUGCACAAAGUUUUAGGUCGGCUGAUGAGCCAAAUAGAUGGAAUACACAGAAACUGGUCAACUGAAAGAGCCGAAUGCCUUUAUAUAUUAAAAUGAAGUUGGGAACUCAUACAAAACAGAGUGUGCCCGAAGAGCAUACAAACUCUGAAAAUCUAGAUUAUAACAGAGUGUGCCCGUGGGGCAUACAGACUCUAGGGAUCUAACUUAAAAACUACUCUUAGGAAAGCAAUAAAUUUGGGUAAAAAAGUUUACAUGUAGACUACUCCUAGAAAACGAUAAAUGUAGGAAAGGAAAGUAUUGAAAACGCGGCGGUCUUCUCGUUCAGGGGAGAGAAAGACCUUUAUUACAGGCUUCAGAAAGACCUUUAUUACAGGCUUCAAAGUUACUAUUAUAAUAUCUUAUCAGCCCACAUUAUUAGUUGGUUAUAGUAGUGAGGGAAGUGCUGUAGCCAUGAUCAUAGAAGUUACGCUCCACUUCUCAUGGAAGUUACGCCCCACUUCACAUGGAAGUUACGCUCCACUUCACAUAGAAGUUACGCCCCACUUCACAUGGAAGUUACGCCUCACUUCUCAACCGUUCCCGCCUAAACACUCUUGACCUUAAGGCGCCCUAUUACCGACUCCUGGUGUACCACGUGUCCUUAUUUCUUUAGCUCAUAUGUGGGUUACGUCGGCGUGUUAAUUUUAAAUUUGGCAUCAACAAUGCCCCCCCAAUAGUCUUUCGAAUAAACAUUCGGAUGACUAUUGGUGCCAAAUCGACUACUCAAUGGCACAGCUGAGACCUAAGCUUUAGUUUCGCUGGUUUUGGUUGGCUUAAAGAAAGCGACUCUUUAUCAUCCCAGCCGUAUAUACCUUAGCUUCAUCAGCCGAUUCUUUACUUUUACUCGAUUGGUUCGGCUCUUCUUGAACUGAAUGUUCUUCUAUCAAGAAUUUCUCCUUGAAGAAAGCGGCUCUUUACCAGCCGCAUAUACCUCGGCGUCAUCAGCCGAUUCUUCACUUUCACUCGAUUGGCUCGGCUCUUCUUGAACCGACUGUUCUUCUAUCAAGGAUUUCUCUUUGCCUUUUCUUUGCUUUUUAUAUCGGCUCCAUUGCAGUCGAUUGUCCUUACUUUUUUUUCGAAAUUGCUCAUAUUGGGCAACUCGAACACCUAGAUCAAAUAGGUUAGAAAAAUACUUAUCUUCAAAAUAGUCUUUUAUCUUAAAAUGCAGACCAUUUAACGUCAUUUUGGCGAACUCUAAUUCCGGCAUUCUCAUAAAGCACCGGGUAUUGGCUAUUUUGAAACGGUUCAAAUACUCUUUGACCGUUUCACCUGACUUUUGUUGGUAUAAAGCCAAGUCGGCAACCGAUAAUUGUGGCUUCGACCUAUAGAAUUGCUCAUGAAAUUUUCUUUCCAAUUCGUCCCAAUCUUGGACGGAAUUGGCUGAUAAACUUGUAUACCAAGUAAACGCCGUUUUAGUUAACGACGUGUUAAAUAAUCGAAGUUUCAAAAAUAAGUCAGCGGUCGCUUCUCUACAUUGGGCCGUGAACUGGGCUAUAUGCUCGACCGUAUUCUCGGUCUCAUCGCCCGAGAACUUAUCGAACUUCGGCAUUUUUCAGUUUGCCGGAUAUGGAUCCUCCACAUUGAUGUUCGCGGGAUAAGGUGAUUUAAACACAGGCAGCAUUGCCAGCCUUGCGCCAACUCCGAAAGUAUUUCGGAUGGCUUCUUCAAUCCGUGCGUAUAUUUCAUUAUUGUUCCCCUACAAAGGAACCUGUGCUUGUAUUACAUUCGGUCCUUGCGGUAGACCGAAAUUCGGUAUAAUAGGGUUAACUCCUUGCAUAUUCGGAGCCUGCCCCCCAGCCCUUACGCCUACAUUUUGGGGCUGGUAAGCUGGUAAAGGAGGUAAACACAAUGCCAUCUCCGACUGCGGGCCGGCGUUUAUAUUCGUCGGCCUAUAAGCAGCCUGGAAAGGUGCCAUUUGCGGUUGCGCCUGUGAAACCGCCGGCGUGAUGGGAUUUUGUUGCACCGGGCAUAUUUAGGGGUCCCUGUUGCCCCCCGUAAGGUUGCUCAUUUCGAGUAAAUAACUGUCUGAUUCGAACAAUAUUUUCAUUGUAGGCCGUUAUGCCGGCCAACACCGUGUCUAGUUGAGCGGUACUUUGAUGGAUAUUUUGAUCAACAGUUUGCAAGACUCGGGUCAUGUGGCCGAGUGCCUGAGUGUAAGGAAGUGAAUUCUUGAAAUCCGGGGAUUAGACUUCGUUUAGAAUUGACUAAUUGUCGAGUGAGUAGGUUUCGGAAAGUCUGAAGGCGAUUAAAAUGCAUAAGGUGCAUUGAGGAAGAGUCCGCGAGAGCAUCAGUGCAAAACCUGCACUGGAGCAAAAUUGCUCUCGGGGACCGGUCCCCGGCAGGGAGGGACCGGUCCCAUCGGCUGGUGUGGCCGGGAUCCUUGAUGCAACCGAUCCCUGGCAGGGAGGGACCGGUCCCCGAACGUCAACCCAGCGAGAAAGACCGAAAUUUGGCUAAGUCCUAAAAAUCCAACUCUCGGGAACCGGUCUCUCAGGCAAGGACCGGUCUCCCGGGGACCGGUCUUUCAGGCUAAGAUCGGUUCCCGAACGUGAGAUUUUUCUCUGCCCGAAUAGGAGGCUCUCGGGGACUGGUCUUCCCGACCUGGGACCGGUCCCUCACUGCGAAAUUGCCCAGUGAGGGCUGCUUUGUAGAGUGGAAAGUUGAGGGGUUUAAUUGCAAAAUGGCCUAUAUGAGAGAUGGGGAACCCUUUUCUCUCCCUCACUGCUCUCUUUUCCCCUCACACUCUCACCCUUUCUCCCUUUCUCUCUCUCUAGAAAGAAAAGAAGGAGAAGAAAAAGAAGAGGAAGAAGAAGAAGGAGAAGAAAAGAAAGAGGGGGGAGAAGACUAAGAAGAAGAAGAAGAUCAUCUUCUUCUUCCUCAAGCUAGGAGCUCUAACCCUACAAUAGUAUUUCUAGGGUUUAGGGUUCUUGUUGUUUGGAGAUGGUUUUAAUGAGACCUAAUGGAGUCAAAUAGAUGAUUCUAGCAUGAAUCUAAAGCUUGAAUCAUGGAUUUCUCCGUGGUUGCAACCUAGGGCUCCGAUUUGGGAUUUUUGGAAAUCUAGGGUUUAAUCUAUUUUAAUGGGUCAUAAACCUAAUUGCUAAGUCUUCGAACGCGUAGGCGAAGACGGUCCUUCGUUACGACGAGCGAGUGCGAAAAUAUCGCCGGAACAAGUGCUCGAGGGUUCGGAUUAGCCUGAAGAGUCGAGGCGACGACGAAGGAUCACGGCGUCGAGUUUACUAGCUACACGGUAGUACCAAAAAGGUGGGGGUGCUAUCCCGAAGCAGUUGAACUGCUCCCUAUGUCUAAGUCAUCAUGUUGAUCAAGUGCGGUUGAUCAAGUGCUUAUUGUAUUAUUGCAUUAUAGGGUGCUGAAUGUAAUUGUUACAUUUUAUUGCAUGCUAGAGUUAGCUUAGCUUCGUGGAUAUAGCGCCGAACCUAGUAUGCAUGAGUUGAAUAGGAGAUAGUCAACCCUAUAUGUGAUGAAUGUGUUAUGCGAAUGAGAACCUAGUAUGGAAUAACUAGUAUAUGAGAACAUUGAACCUUGACGAGUGGCAUCUAGUUAAUGUUAACCUUGACGAGUGGCAUCUAGUUAAUAUUAACCUAUGAUGAAUAGCUAUGAGAACCUUAGUGUGGUUGGUAACACUAGAGUGAUGAGUAUGGUAUUUGCUUGCAUAUAUGAUGAUACUAUCCUUAGUUGACAAGAUGUUCCCAGUUUGUGAGGGUUUGGAUCGAGCUUACAUAGCCUAUCUGCGCCUGUGGUGGUAGCUCCACACAGGUAGUGCACUCCGGAGGUUGUCACACGAGGGGGGGCCAAUGUAGUUGCCCUUGGACUAUUGUAGCUGUUCGCAGGCGGUCUCGGGGGUAGUUGAGUAGCUAGUCUCCUCCCCUAUGAGACUUACACACAUGAGAUUGUGAGCAAGCCUCGAGUUCGCAGAGGGAUUGGGUAACCUGAUGAGUUCCACGUUUUUGUGCAUAGUAGUAUAUUAGCUACAGGUUUCACUAUGAUGUGCAUGCAUGCAUUAUACAGAUUGAGGCAUAGUUAGAUGUUGCAUAUAUAUAUAUAUGUAUAUCUGCUUAAAUGUUGCCGAUGCUUUCAAUUACAAGUAUCUAUCUAUCUGUCUAUUGUCUCUCUAUGCUUGCUUAGACCUAGUGGGGAGAUCGGCGGAGUUGGCGGCCGAACCCACUGGGAACUAUAGAAGAUAGUUCUCACCCCACUCUCUAUAGGUCCGAGUUCGAGUGUCCCCGGCGAGCGCGACGAUCGUGGCAAGGGCAUAGCGCCCUAGGGGUAUCCAUAGCUAGCUUUACUUCCUUCUGCAUUAAUUCCACUCUAUGUUUUAUGUUUGAGAGUAGAUGAUGUAUAGGGUGAGGUUUUGAGAGUGAUUGUACAUAUGUUUUGGAAGAAUGUAAAGGUUGAAAUAAUUGUAUCAAAGUUAAUGAAUUCAAUAGUUAAGUAUAUCUCUCU
rnacentral:lncRNA from 1 species